rnacentral:lncRNA from 1 species
GCCCUUCAGGUUAGAGACGUGGUCUUGUCCUCCCAAGUACUAGGGACGCCCUCAGCCACGGCCUUCGCCCAACCGAUUUCGACGUCAGCAGCGAUCACCACCUCACAAGCCAACACCGCUCUCGAAGUACAAGCCGAAGCUGACAUGGGGGCCAUGCGUCAAAACAUGGCAAAACUUCAAGACACGCUUCGCCAGAUGCAAGAGCUGCAAUAAGCAUACGAAGCAGCAAGACAAGCCAAGGCCAAUGCCCAGCAGUUUUAUGCUCAGCGUCAAGUCAUUCCUUCUUAUGUCGCGCAAGCACUGGUGUACUUCGCCAGGCCAGCCCUAGCCGCUGCCGUUCACCCAACACAUCAAGUGAUCCAAGCACCGGUUCGCCCGGCGGCGCCUCAAGCCCAGUACCCGAAGCCUACUUAUACACCGCAAGCAAUGAUGGAAGCAGCUUCGACCUUGCAAGCUCAAUUCCAAGUUUUUCUGCAGCAACAACGUACAAAGAGCUUCACCUCCGGUUCAGACCGAGGGGAGCCCAAGACAAGGUGCAUUGGCGGGGCUUCUGGUUGGACAGUUCGCCCAGCCAAGUCAAGUUCGAGGGCCUUCGCCUCAAGGUCCAUCUUCACAAUUUGACCCAAGCACAAUGGCCCAAGCACUGACAACUUUUGCACAAGCUAUACCUCCAGGAUACGGAUCAGCCCCACCACCGAAUCAAACAUGGAAUCAAACCACGUUCAACCCAACCGCGGCAGCGCAGGUCACUUCUCCAGACCAGCAGAACCAGGCAAUGAUGUUCAACAUAGCGCUUCAGUCGAUGCCCACAGCACAACAGCCUGUGGAUUCCAUGGCUUCACCGUUCGCGCUGCCGUACCCACAUUUGAAUUGGCCUGCUCAGCAAGGGGCUAUGAUCAAGCCGAGGACCGAAAAGGGCCUGCCCCUCAGCUGGGGAAUCAAUAAUCAUCCCAUCCCACCCCAGUUCAAGUACCCUCCGGUCCCACGGUAUAUCGGGAGAAACAGAUCCGAAAGAGUUCUUGUCCAUCUACGCAUCUGCAAUUGAAGCCGCUCAUGGUGACGAGAACACCAAGGAGAAGGUAAUUCACCUCACGCUCGAUGGCAUAGCCAGGUCUUGGUAUUUCAAUUUGCAUGUUAAUAGCAUUUACUCAUGGGAGUAAUUGCGCGAUGUUUUUGUUCUUAACUUUCGAGGUACCUAUGCGAGGAGCCGAAAACACAACAAGACCUUAUGGGCAUUCGCCAAAGGCAAGGGGAAUCAACAAGGGAGUGCAUUUGCCUGUUUUCGCAAGCGCGUUGCCAAGUGCAAGAUAUAACCGAAGCGUAUGUUAUCCAUGCCGCUUUGGCCAGCUUGCUCGAGGGAGAACUCACAAGGAAACUCGCGCGUAAAGAACCCAGAACACUUGAACACCUCUUUUGCAUAAUUGAUGGAUAUGCUCGAGGUGAAGAAGAUACCAAGCGGAGGGAAGAAAUUCAAGCCGAGUAUGACAAGGCAGCAACAGCUGCAGCAGCCGCCGUCCAAACCAACACCCAAGCUCAGGUCCAAGCUCAAGCUGUAAGUUCAGCACCAGUUCAAGUUCACCCAGCAUCUCUGGCGAACCAAGUACUGCACCCCAGGCCGAACCAAGCACCCAUGACAUGGAAGAAAUUCAGGACUGAGUGAGCUAGCAAAACGGUGAUGGCGGUCGAAGAGGUACAAGCCCUCCGCAAGGAGUUCGACACCCAGCAAGCGGGCGGGCAACAACAGCCUUUUCACAAGAAGGUCAAGAAAGACUUAUGUCACGCCCUAAAAAUCGACUAAAUUAAAAAUGCAUAUUUUAAAUCAUUUUUAGAAAUUAAUUUAAAAGCCUACAAGCUAAACCCUAAUUUUCUAGGAAAAUUUUCAACAUAAAAAUGAGCUAGAUAAAAUUUUAUUAAAUACUAUGCUUGCUCCUUUAUUUUCUAGAUUUUUCUGGGAAUUAUUUGAGCAAGGGAAGUAUUUUUAAUAAUUGAAACAACAUUUCACAAAUUGUUUUAUUUCAAAAAGUUUAAAAAAAUCCCCUCCUAAGCCGUUGGGCCGAAUUCGGCCCAACUCUCUCUCUCUCUCUCCCGCGCGGCCCAAGCCGGCCCAGCUGCCGCCGCCGCUCUCUCUCUCGUGGGACACUGACAGGUGGGCCCCACCUGUCAGGUGUUUCCCCUACCUCCGGCCGGCUGCCCUAGCCGAGUCCGAGCACGAGCCGCCUCCUUCUCCUCUCAAAUUCGCCUCAAUCCGACCCCGAUUCCUCCGGGUUUUUGAGGGGUUUUGUUCCUCUCGUUCUCCUCUUUCUUUUCCCCCAAGAAUCAAAGAGAAUCGUUGAGGAUUUGAUCCGAAUCGAGUUCGUUUUGAUUUUAUCCCUAAAACCGAGUUUUAAUCUUUCCCGAGUCGAUUGCUCUCGUUUGGAGUUCGAUCUCUUCAAUCCAAGCUUAUAUAAAGGACCACCUCGUCGUUCUCUUUCGUUUGCCCCCUCUCCCGAGCUUUCCCGUGCACCGUAGCGCCGUCGCCGCGUCGUUUUAGUCGCCGCCGCCGCCGGCCAUCUUUCGGCCACGUCGCGCCGCCGCGUCCGUCGUCGCCGCCGCUUGCCGCCGCCGCCGUUAGGUGCGCCGUGGUGAGAGGAAUCUCGGCCGCCCCUUCCCCUUCGCCGCCGACCACCGGAGCUCCGCCGACGCCGUCAAGCCGAGCCGCCGCGCCGCCUCUUCUCGUCGCCGGCCGUCAUCGUGCAUCGUUUGUUGUCGUGGUAAGUACCAUCGGGUUCGUCUCGAUGUCCUCUUCGCGUUGGUGUCCUCCAAUCGCCCGGCCGAAGUCCCUAGCUCCGGCGAGCUCGCAAACCCUAAUCGGCCGUGGGUGACGUCAUGCUGACGUCAUCAGGGCUGACGUCAUCAUCCCCUUUUCUUUUUCCUUUUUCCAAUUUUCUAAUAGAUUAAAACUUCGGAAAAUCAUAACUAAAUAACCGUAGAUCCGUUUCAGGUGGUUUAAGUUUCUAAAUUCUUCUAAAAUCAAGAUCUACAUGAUAAAAAUAUCCACAUGUACUGUUUAUGCUUGUUUUUGUACUGUUUUGUUGAUUUUGUUUAUUUGCUUUAGUUUCCGACGUUCCGGAGGAGAGCGUUUCCGUUGAGGAAGGUUCCGAAGCGUUUGUGGAAGCCCAAGGCAAGUCACACAGAUCCCAAACAACCCUUUGAGCAUGUUGAACCCGUUUAAAGCUAUUAUUUUAUUUCAACUAUGCAUUGUUUUCGAAUGUCAUCGGGUGGUGAACCUUUCCCAGUUAAUUAUUGGCCGAAGAUGACUUUAUUUUCCUAUGGGUUAUAAUUUGAUUAGCAUGAACCUUAUAUAUUGGAUUGGUUCAGCUAAAUGCUAUAUGUAAGUUUGCUUAGCCAUGCUUAGAAACAUUAGCUAACUAAAGGGGUUAAUUAUAAAUUAUAUUAUAUUAUUAUUCAAUUAUGGUGAUUCAAUGGUAGCUCACGAUGGUAAAUCGUGUGAUGAUAAUUAAUUGGUAAUUAAAACCUGGCUAAGGUGGGUUGUGAGCAUAUGGUUUUGAUGGUUGUGCUCAUGACAAUUAAGGACCGGUUCGCGAGCUACUGUUGUGAAACAUUUAUCGUGCCAACCACAAGCCAGCGUGGGCAACGGCUUUAUCUUUUGUAUAACGUGAUUCAUUAUAGUGCGCCAGACUGAGAAGUGGCGAGAAGUCCACGGGGGUCGCUGGGGAGUCCAUGCCUUGUUUAUAAGGGGGUGAUUAUGAUCCAGGAAAGGUGCGCUGUAAUGGGUUAUGUUGUGCAAGGGGUAUUGUCACAACUCCUUUCCGAGGUACGGUGGUGGUAUUGAGGCACAUGGUGACAUGAUGUGGGGUUGUGUCUUGUGGGUACAGUGGUACACCUCUGAUUAGAGUUUAAACUAUUCGAAUAGCCGUACCCGCGGUUAUGGGUGAGUUGAGCAAUGUUUUUCGUGAUUAGUUUCACACUACUCAUCAAUGUUAAUAAUGUGAUAAAUAAUUUGACUCCUGGUUUGGAAUGGUUAAUUCCUGGUUUGGAGGUUUAAUUUGUUCAACUGGGGUUAGUUGUUCAAAUGUGGUUGGGCCUAUGCAACAUGGGUGUGUUGUAUGGUGUUAUUUAAUAUUGAUCAAUUAUUCAACUGUUUUUAUUAUUCUCUUAUAUAUUUAUUAAAUGCUGUUUUCUGCAAAUGAGCUAUAUUAUGCCAUCCUUUGUUAUCCUGUGCACUUGCAUAUUUGCUGUGUGGCUUGUUGAGUAUGUCAUACGCUCAUUCUUGCAAUAUUCAUUCAUCAGAAGAGGAGUAUCUCAGUGAAGGUGAUGAUCUGGAGGAUUAGGCUUGUUCUUGGUUAAGAUGCCUGUGGAGUGGAGUCGCCAUAGCUGUUCCGUAGUUUGUUAUCGUUUUAUAUUUCCGCUGCGUAGAAUGUUAUUUUUGUUUGAGAGGAACUGUCUACCUCUGUAAUAAUUUUUAUUUGCGAGUAUUAAAUAGUUAUUUAUUUGUACUCUAUUAUCAAAUUGUCAUUGUGUGCCUCGGUUGAUUCCUGGACGAGGGUUUAACACACAUGUAAGCGUUUGGAAUUUUGGAUAGAAAUUCCGGGCGUGACAACUUAUAAUGCGCUUUUCACGGACGCUCUUCGCACACGACCGAGCAGAGUCGAAACAUUCGGCAGCAAGGCAAUGUUCAAGCACAAAGGCAUUGUCUCAGCAUUGUCUCUACAGCUGACAGCAUUCCAAGAUACUUUUCACAGCCAAUAUCCUUCGGACCAGAAGAUGCCAAAGGAGUUCUUUUCCCGCACCAAGACCCGUUGAUCGUUUCGGUAGAAAUGGCUAGUUUUGAAGUUCGGCGCAUCCUCAUCGAUGGAGGAAGUUCGGCCGAUGUCAUGUUUGCGUUGGAGGUAUACCGCGAAGGGCCUUCGGCCGGGCCUACCGAAACCGAAAACUUGGCGACAGGUUCAAACCGGAAGCAAGCGGUGAAGGUCGAAGAGGGAUACCCUAAGGGCGAAAGCCAUGGCUCGGGAAGUACGCGUGCUUCGUCGGACAGGGCCCCGUCAGGAGGCCACGCAAGCGAAGAUGGCGAGGCAAAAAGCCUCGGCCCGAAGGUAUGGAUUUCGCCAAGGUACCAAACCCCACCGUGAGGAAGCCCAACGGGCUGUUGCGCCCCUGCGGGGAUUCGCCAAGAUCAAUGGGCUGAGCCAUUUAGCCCAAUUGGGGCCAUACGUGUAAAGGACAUUGUGUACCCCUAAUCAUGUCCCUAUCAUAAGGGUAACCAUGUAAAUUCUCCUGUAAAGCCUAAACCCUAGGGGGAGAGAACCUGUAAUAAGGUUAUAAAUAGCCCUUCUAGGCCAUGUAAUAGGGGGAUCCCCAAAUAAUUUUUUACUAAGCAAUACAAUUGCCUUACUUUUCCAACAACUAUUGAGAGAACCACGCCUUUCGGUGUGACGCAUACCUUUUCGCCAUAGUACGUAGUGGGGGCCGGCAUGUUCCGACAUAACAAAAGCACGAGAGUGACUAUGCGAACGAUGGCAUAAAGCUAUGAUCAAUAAUUCACAAAGUUUCGAGCGGACAAAAUCACAAAACUUUUCUAUUUACGUGAGAAAAACCUCAUAAAAAAUUACAUCACCAGUUACAUGUUCGCCCUCAAUUAAGUUACUAAUCGGCGAAUUAGGUUCAUCGUUGCUACUAAUAUUAUACACAACCCUUAAAGGGGACGGUGGCCAAAAGCAAACUAAGCUGUAACGGCGACGAGCGAUAGCCUCUUGGAGAAACGACCUCUUAAAGUUUCGCUAGAAAAUUGCGCUAUCUUCGCGAUACGUUACACGAUACCUGUCAUAGUCUUUCAAAGUUCGACCGGGGUGUGCACGCAUCCAUUCGGCAACCCGUAUAACCAUGUAGCUGUUGCCUUUUAUUAACAUUUCAUGGUAAACAGGCCGAAAACGACACUUGGUCUUCAGCAAUCCUUUAACCGCCACGAACUUCUCGUUCUUGUUUCGCCAACUUUCAGGUGGGGGCCGAAUGCCCAUUUUUCGGCCACGAAUCUCCUGACAAAGCACAAAAGAACAAGUGCAAAAGGAAAAAUGUGGACGAAAUCAAUCCCACUUUCCAACAAAAUCAUAAGGUUGGCGAAAGCAUUAACUUUUCCAUUAAUAAAAUAAAAAAGUCAUAAUGGCUAUAAGAUGAAAACGGCUCAAAGCCGAACAUGCAAAGCGCCUAUAUACAUAGUAGGACUACCAAAAAGCCUAAAAGGACAAAGAAAAAAAAGGUGGGAGUCACACGAGGGCCUCACACCUCAGGGUGGUCUUGGCCUCCAUUGCCUUUGCCCUCGUGUCCGGCGCCCGGUUCCGACGGCCCAAGGUCCCCUCCGGUGUUAGUGGUAGUGGCUUCGUCCUUUGCAAUCCUCUCGAGAUUCUCGCGAAGGCGUGUCUUCGCGCAAUCCCGGCCGCCAUCCUCCUAGAAACCUUUUCGGAAGGCCCUUAAGGCCGUUCCGGAACACUGUGAAUUGUCAGGACAUUCUUCUUUCACGAGGUCGGGAAAGAUCCCAAUGUGGUCACAACCGUGUGAGUGUAGCUGGCUAAGGAUGAAGCCCGCCGAAACACGCGCACAACAGUCACCAUAAGCACCUGCCACUUCGACGACUGAGCCGGCCGCUUCCUGCGUCCUCUCGGAGAAGUCGAACGUCGUCCCGUCGUCGCCCGGAGCGCCCUCCGCCCGUGUCCCGAGGUCAUACAGAGCCAGCUUGAGAGUAUAACAGACUUGCUUGGGGGACUCUGUUGCCGGCGCCAAAGUCACAGCAGCAGCUUCGGCCGAGAUAAGACGGGCCUCAAGGGACUUGAUCUUCUCCUCGGCCGCAGCAAGUUGGCGAUCUCGUUCUGCGUCCCGCUAGUUCGCCGCCUCUAGGUCGGCGCGGAGAGACUUGUUGUCUCCUGUAAGAGCCUUGUUUUCCGCAUUCGCCUUUUUUAUGGUCUCCGCCACAACACGUCUUUCGUCUUCCUUGUGGCAAAGAUCCUCCUCGGUUUUUCGGAGGCGAAGACGGUACCCGUCCGGCCUCUCCAAGGCAGACUUUUCCGCACUCAAGUGCGCGGCGAGGCCCUGGACAAGGGGAACCAAAUACAUUAUGGCGUGACAUAGGUGAAAUGAGAAAAUUCUGCAGACAGAAAAUUCAUACCCGCACAAACAAGCUCUCCACGGCCGUGCAACUUUCGCCAAAUUUGUUCAGCUCGGUGAAGAGGCCAAGGCCAUCGGACGGUGCGAUAACUUGGCACACCCCGUCCAUGAAAGGAGUGAUCUCCGGCCACGUGGCGAAAUCCACGGGAACGAAGUGCGGGGCAGUAAGCGUCACGUCCGACAAAGUCAUUUCGACCGCCGGAGCUUUUCCUUCCCGCUGACGAGCUUGCGAAGGAAUCGCCUCAACCUAUUCGUCCCCGGAGACGUUCGCUCCAGCGGCCGGAGCCGAGGCACUUCCACUCGUUGCAGCUUCGGCGUCACUAGCAAGCGCUGGGGACAUGCGUCUCUGUCGCGACCGGGAAAAUUGCCUUUUCCCGAACGCUUGUGUAUUAAUCCCCGUCCCAGGAAAAGCCGGGGUACACCACACAAACAUGAUAUAAAAGACACAUCUUUAUUAUAUCGAUAAUAUUUACAUUAUUACAAAGGCGCUUCAGGCCUGACAAUCAAAAAUAAACAGCAGCGGACUAGCGAGCCUACGGCUCCACCUUCACAGGCGCUCAACUGGGGUAUAAGCCAGGACUCCACCUAAGACAUCUUCUCCAAAGCUUCUCUUACUGAAGAGGGGAAAGAUUGAGCAAGAAUGAGUACAACCACAGUACUCAGCAAGCCACACCGGAGAUGCAUAAUUAAUGCAAGGGGGUACAAGGGGAUAAUAAUAUAGGGGUUAAGUUUUGCAGUAAACAGCAUUUAAAAGUCACUUAGUUGCCCAAAGCCAUUUUAUAAAGACGAUCCUAGAGCUACACAAAAUUAUUAAUCAAGGCCGUGAACCCUCACGAACCUGCCUUAACCCAAGGCCUACGAUGAUUCAGACCGAACUGGCAACCCGACCCUGGGUCCCAGCUCGUCCCAAGCCAACCCAGGCCAACCAUUCCACAUUUUAGUUGUUGAGCAAAUUUUAAGAAUUAAAACACUGACUUGGGUACAUUGCUCGGCUUGCCCAUAACCGAGGGCGCGGCUAUUCGAAUAGAUUAUACUCUGAUCAGAGGUGUACAUCUUUACCCACAAGACACAUCUUCCUCACGUGCAACCACGUGCCACAUACCACCACGGUAUACAGACGGAAGACGUGACAUAGUUUCCAACCCAUCCUAGCCAUAGACAAGAGUACCGACCCAAUCCCACCUACGGCCGGAACCUCCGGGACAGGCAGGCAGGACUGAGCCCCUAGCAGCAGGGCACCAACCCUGUGCCAUGACAUCUCGACUACCGGGCCGCAGCUCGUGUAGCCUUCAUUUGUCCUAGAGAAUGUCCAUCGACCCCCGACUUCAUCCAUCUCCAUCCGUGUACUUUUGUUUAUGACCAGACUGAGCCACAAACUAAGCCUUACCCACUAGACAGGUGGAAGUACGGUAGUGCUUUGCAACAGAGGCCCGAGCUUAAUCCUUAUAGUGGCCGGGGUGCUACUUCCCACAACUGGCAUGCACCCAAACCCCACCGAAAACAGGUUUUAGGGGUUUUGAAAGAGGAAGAGAGGUGUAUGUCCAAUUCCACCAUAAACCAACAAUUUCAUAGUGUCCAGGUGAUAUGAGAAUUCCCAAAGUCUAAAGUUAUAAAACCACCUAAUAUUGCCUAAUUAAUCAGCGAAGCAUCUACCUAAAUUCAUACUUGUGGAACCAUGAAUAGAGUGUCCACUAGUUGGGGUUUUGUUUAAUCUAGGGUGAACAAGGUAAUAAUAUCAAUAACAAUAAUAUUAAGGUCAUAACAAAGGUAAAUAGGCAUGGCUAAAUAAAACAGUGAUCACGCGGGAAUUUAAAUAAAGCGUUAAUGCAAUAAUUUAAAUCAAAAUAAUUUUAUAAACUGGGAUUCAAUAUGUUCAAGGAUGAUGUGACUUGCCUUGCUCAGAGAGAACGGCCUUCCGAACCUUCGGCGACGACCGCAAACCACGCUUCGGGAACCUCCGGAAUGACAGAAGCUACGCGAAGCACACAAGCAAAGCUACAAGCCUAUAAAGAAGCAAUAACAAUACAUAAAAAGAAAGCACAGGGUUCUUUAGGUUAUAACAAACAUUAAGAGACUUGAACGGGUCGAUUCGGAGUUCGUAUGACCAAGAUAUGAUCAUCCGAAGUUUAGUGCUGUUAUAUGGAGAUUUGCGGAUUAUUAUAAUUAAGCUUUGCAACAAUAAAACAUGUGUAAGCGCUAGCCUGGAAAAGACAGGAAGGCUGCGCCGUUGACAUGCGGACCCCACAUGUCAACCUAAAGGACCGCGGUAGACCGAGUACACAGAGUCGGUCCAUGGGUCGACGGAAGCGGAUCCCGUGUGUCAACCGAGGCGAGUGGCCGACAAACGGACUCCACUAGACACCACACGGGUUGCACACGUGGAAACCACGCGGCUACCGAGCGGGCACACUAACACGGACACUACACGGUCACCAUCCGCACACGUGAACGACUACCGACACCGGUACACGGGUACCGGGGUUGACGACCGCACAACGAGCACGGACGACACCGAAAGGACGAGGACGGGGCAGCGAGGGAGAGGGAUCCUUACCACCACGCGACGAGGCGCGGGAACGACAACGACGAACGGGCGCGGCGGAGACAGACGGGCACAACGGAGACGAACGGCGAGGGGACGGCUUCGGCGGCGAUCCUUGGACGAAGGCGAGACGCGGCCGGCACGAGGCUUGACGACGCGGAGCCGAGGACGAAGACGAGGACGGGGCUGCCGCGGCUCGCUUGACGAACGCGGACGACGGACGAGAACGGCUCGACGGAGGGACGAACGCCACGACGACCGAGAACGACGAGAGGACGACGACGACGACGACCGGGGCCGGCGAGGAGACGAUGAGGGCAGCCGGCGGCAGCUGCACGGAGACGGGGACGACGUGGAACGCACCGCUGCGAAUCCGACGACGGAGGCGGCACCGCGAGACGACGAGCCGGCGAGGAUGAACGGUGAAGACGACGACGGACACCGGCGGUGUUCGGUCGGAGGGGAGGCGAGGCCGAGGACGACGUCGCGGCUGCGAUGCCGAAGAUGGUGGAGGUGUGGCCGACCGGUGCACGGCGUGGAGGGAGAGGUUCGCGGCGAUGUGCGGCGGCUUCCGGGCGAAACCGAGGGGUGGACGAGGUGGAGGGCUACGCCACCAUGCCGAGGGAGGGACGGCAGCGCCGGCUGAUGCACGGGCCCGGUGGAAGGGGGCUGCCGGAGGAGACGUCGACGAGGAGGAAGGAGAGGCCGACGCGGGCGACGGCGUUCCGGCGAAAUUCGGGCGACGCCGUGGCCUUGCCGGGAAAGAGGACGGCACUCCGAUGCCGGGAGAGGUGGUGGCGACGUCGGCCGGCGCACCGGGGACGCGGCAGAGGCGACCGGAGGCGGAAUCGUGGCGGCAACACCACGGUUGCCGGCGGGGAGGCACUUCCGGAGGUCUCCGCGGGAGACAGAGGGUAGGCCGGCGAAGAGGAGGCGGCUGCGAUGCUAGAGGAGGCGACGGCGCGACCGGACGGCGCUCCGGCGAGGAGGGAGAGGCGGCUGGAGGCGGCCGGCGGCACGGGAGGGAGGGGACGACGGCGGGGAGGUGGCUAGGGACCACGGGAGAGCCCGGGAGGAGACUAAAACGGUAGAACGCAAAGAGGGGGUUCUAUUUUAUAGGAUGGGGGAGGGAGCCGGGCACGGGAGGAGCGGGGAACGGCGGCGGAAAAGCCGGCCGGCGGCAAUGGAAGGCGGCCGGGAAUGGCGCGGCCGUUUCCGGCGAUUGGGGGCACCAUUCAAGGGGAAAUUAAGGGGGAAAGAGAGAGGAGGGAAAGGGGAUUAAUUCCCCCUAAUCAAUUUGGGAAUCCCAUGCUUGAAUCGCGCGGAUUUGAGGGAGGAAUGGCGCUAGGGUUCGCACGGGAGGGAGAGAGAGGAAGGGGCCGGGCGGUUGGAAGGGGACGACCGGCCUGGCGCGUGGGCCCCACGCGGUCAGGCGGCGGCGUCAGCGCGCGCACGCGCGCGGCACGGGCGGGAGGCGCGGCUCGGCUUGGGCCGGGCGAAGCCGAGGCGACCCAGGAGGAGAGGAGGGAGAGGAGGCCCGGGAGAGAGAGGGGAGGGGAGGGAGCUGGGCCGGGAGGGGAGGAGGCCCAAGAGGAGGAGGGAGAGAAGGAGAGGGAGAGAAAGAGAGGGAGGAGAGGGAGACUUCGGCCGCGGGCCGAGGGGAGAGAGGGAGGACUUUGGGCCAGACUUGGCCCAAAGGAGGAAGGAGGGUUAUUUUUAGGUUUUUCUUUUUAAAUAAACUUUGAUAAUUGUUUUUGUUGCUUAAUAAUUAUUUCCGGUGCUCUGAAAAUUCAAGUAAAAUUUGAGGGCUCCUUUUAGACCAAGGAUAAUUUAACAAAAAUUCUCCGGGCCACAUUCGAAUUUUUCUUGUACGUAUUUUAGUGUUUGCCAAAUUCUUUUCGAAUUUUAAUUAAUUCUAUUAUUCCUUUUAGCGAAUGAUUUUUAAUUCGGGAUGAAUUUAUCAGGACGUGACAAAUCCACCCCCCUUACAGGAAUCUCGUCCCCGAGAUUCGAGGAGGCUAGCAAGAGGAUAGGUUGGGCGGUCUUCUCUUCUUGUCUGACUCCUUCCGCUCCGUCUUCUAUAACAAACUUGCCUAACAAAACUUCUCCACUCUGGACUGCUUGGCUCGAUCUCCUGUUGCAGAUGGAAUCUUCUCUUCACCCGACUUGUCCCUGGUUGAACCUUUAGCUGACUUCGACUGGGUUGCGGCACUUGAAGAUGGUGCUUCAGUUCCAGAACUUCGCAUAGUUCAUAUCUUUGGCGUCAACCUCAUACAACUUACCCACUUCAUGUCAUGCGUCAACACUAGCUUGUCAUUACUAGGAUACCAUGUUUGUCAUCAUAAGAAUAUCAUGCUUGUCAUUUACUUCUAACUUGCACCAACUGCCUCAUAUUAGCUUUCCUAGUCUCCGGUGCUAGAUACUUCCUCUAUUCAAUGUGAGGGUCGGUAACUUUUGCCUUUGAAUUAUGUUUCCCAAGGUAACCAAAUUAUCCCACUUGACAUGCUUUGACGUCUUCCCAAAUGACUUUACUGCUGAACUUGUUAUUGUCUGAUCAUUUUCCUGCCAAAUCUGAAGCUUCGUUGUUAGGUGUGAUUUUAAUCUGACCUCUAUAGACUAUCUUCGAACAUUUCACUUGGUUCAUAACUGGGAAUAGUUCCCACGAACAGGCAGCUCGGAUUUACUUUCGUUACAUUCAGUUUACUUCCCACUAUUACCUUCAGGUUGUCCUCAGUUAGCAUUCAACGUAUUCCUUUACACCUUUAACCUUGAUGUGUUCUUUCCCGAUUUCUCUUAUCAAUCACCUUUCGACCUACUUCUUUGCCCGGUAAUAAACACCUUUGCUGGUAUCUUCUAUCAAUCACCUUUUAAACUUUGUCAACCAAGUACUCUCCACUCCGAGAGUUGUGGAUGCUUCUGGUGACAAUGAGGUCCUUUGGCUUGCUGCCUUCCAGUGAAACCUUGAAGUGUUUCGCCAAAAGCUAUACUGACUGUCUUUGCCUUUGAUCCGAAAAAGACACAUCUGAAACUCUUAGUCCAACAAAUGUUUCUUUGGUUAAUCGCUUGAUUUUCUUUUCCAUCAUCAGGUUGGUUAUUAACUCGAGGUUAGAACAUAGUUCCUCUGGAAUGAGACCCUAGGUCUCCUUUGACAGUAAACAAUUAUACGCAUGAUCCCAUAUCAGCAUCUUCCAAAAUAAUCCUCAUAGAACUUGUUUUUAUCACACAUGUCUCCCUUAUUACAUGAAUACAAGGCACUACCUUAAACAAAAAAGGGAAGAUGCUUAACAUCGGUACAUUGUUUCUACUAUGGGUUAGGAUUAACAUGAGGCCUCACAGGUACGGCGUUUGCUCCAGUGACCACAAGGCGAGUGACUUGUCUUCUUCUUGCAUAAUGGCCGGAGUGAUGGCGCAGGUUACGCUUCGGCUGUGGACAAUCUCUAGAGAAAUGACCUGGUUCUUUGCAGUUGUAACAAAUCAACGUCUUCUUUACUGAGCUGUCCAUCUGGGGACGAUCAUUUUGACUUGGAGUUGGAAUUGGUGGUUGGAAAUCCUUGCUAACAUUGGCAUCAGUGGUACCAUAGUUGCUAUCACCAUUGGAGUCUUUCUCAGUGUCAAAAUUGCUAAGGUUGUCAUUCUGGGUUCCAACAUUGAUACUAUCGUUGACAUCUUGGUGAAUGCUACUGACAUUGCACGCUUUAUUCGGGUGGUCACUAAUGGGGCAAGAACCAUGGUUGUUGGUGGUAUCAUCAUCAUUAGUAUUGCUAGUGUUGUUGUCUGCAUUGCGUCCAUCUUCUUCGGGCAGGAAUUCUUGAUGCACAACAGAAGAUCCGGUGAUCUGAAGUGGCUCAGUGCGCUGUCUUUGGUUACCACCUGGAAAUACUGGGAUGUUGACAAUCCUUCUCUUGCAGUUCGUCAUCCGAUUAUGCUCACUUUCAAGUUGCAUGGCUUUGUCCACAAGUUUCUCAAAAUCUUCAUAAUCCUCUAGGAGUAGUUGCACUGCAAGCUCAUCUUUUAACCCCUGGAGAAACUUCUCUUGUUUGUCUUCAUCCGUUUCCACAUCUUCUGGUGCAUAGUGAGCCAAACGAUAGAACUCGUGCAGGUACUCUGUGACGGUCAAAUCUCCUUGCUUCAGGUAGCGAAACUCUCGUUUUCUUAGUGCGAUCAUUCCUGCGGGAACAUGUGAUCUCUUGAAUACAGAUGAAAACUCGUUCCAGGUGAUGGUAUGUCCUUCUGGCCGUGAUGCUUCGUAGCUAUCCCACCACUCUGAAGCCGGUCCAACCAACUGAUGAGUUGCGAAGCCAACCCGCUCCUGGUCGGUGCACUGAAUCAACCCUAGCUUCUUCUCGACUGUGCGCAACCAAUCACUGGCUUCCAUAGGAUCGACGGCAAUGGCAAAGGUUGGAGGCUCAGUUUUGAGAAAUUCUGAUAACUUGCACUGUUGCUGGACUGUAGGUACUUGAACGUUGGUUGCCCCUGCUGGGUUGUUCCAAUUCUGUAAUAGUUGAAAGGCUGUUGCCAACAUGUUGGUUUGGUUAACCACAAUUUGGAUUAGCUCUGGUGAGGUUUCGUUUAUGCUUUUCUCAUUCCCAUUGGCUUGGGUUCUUGAGUCAUCGGAUCCAUCAUUCCCAUAGCCUUUGUUACCAGUGUUAUCCAUCUGUCACAAGGUAGAGGUUGAGAGGGGAAGCAUACAAGGAAAGAAUCGACCAGAACUAGGGACAAGACCUUAAAGGAACUAACUCUUUUUGUUGAUGUGUUGUUUGUUUUGCUUAUUCUGCAGGUUGAUUAAGCAAACAACCUAGCAUGGUUACAUCACACCCCACUGAUGCAAACCACGCGCUACACACACAAGCAAGGAAACACACAACUAACGACUCUACCCUAGAGGGCGGCUUAGGUUCUGCAACUGGUUCUCCAAGAUCUUCACUCCUUCUUCACAGCUGGCUUCACUGCUUCCUACACUUCGCUAGCGGAUCCUGCAGUCUUCCGGAGCUUCGGCAAACAAUUGGCGACAUCUUCUUCUUCGCAAAGCUGACCAUCUAGUACUAGUUGAAAUUUGAAGAAGGAAGAAAAAAGUAAACCAUUUUGCAAAUAGCAUUAGGGGAAGGAGAAAAAGGAACUUUCGCCAAUAGUUUUAUUUAUAAAAUAUGUCCUUAGGUUUUAUCCACUUGGCUUAUCCUACCGUCGAGAUGGCUCUGAUACCAGCUUGUCGCGACCAGGAAAAUUGCCUUUUCCCGAACGCUUGUGUAUUAAUCCCCGUCCCAGGAAAAGCCGGGGUACACCACACAAACAUGAUAUAAAAGACACAUCUUUAUUAUAUCGAUAAUAUUUACAUUAUUACAAAGGCGCUUCAGGCCUGACAAUCAAAAAUAAACAGCAGCGGACUAGCGAGCCUACGGCUCCACCUUCACAGGCGCUCAACUGGGGUAUAAGCCAGGACUCCACCUAAGACAUCUUCUCCAAAGCUUCUCUUACUGAAGAGGGGAAAGAUUGAGCAAGAAUGAGUACAACCACAGUACUCAGCAAGCCACACCGGAGAUGCAUAAUUAAUGCAAGGGGGUACAAGGGGAUAAUAAUAUAGGGGUUAAGUUUUGCAGUAAACAGCAUUUAAAAGUCACUUAGUUGCCCAAAGCCAUUUUAUAAAGACGAUCCUAGAGCUACACAAAAUUAUUAAUCAAGGCCGUGAACCCUCACGAACCUGCCUUAACCCAAGGCCUACGAUGAUUCAGACCGAACUGGCAACCCGACCCUAGGUCCCAGCUCGUCCCAAGCCAACCCAGGCCAACCAUUCCACAUUUUAGUUGUUGAGCAAAUUUUAAGAAUUAAAACACUGACUUGGGUACAUUGCUCGGCUUGCCCAUAACCGAGGGCGCGGCUAUUCGAAUAGAUUAUACUCUGAUCAGAGGUGUACAUCUUUACCCACAAGACACAUCUUCCUCACGUGCAACCACGUGCCACAUACCACCACGGUAUACAGACGGAAGACGUGACAUAGUUUCCAACCCAUCCUAGCCAUAGACAAGAGUACCGACCCAAUCCCACCUACGGCCGGAACCUCCGGGACAGGCAGGCAGGACUGAGCCCCUAGCAGCAGGGCACCAACCCUGUGCCAUGACAUCUCGACUACCGGGCCGCAGCUCGUGUAGCCUUCAUUUGUCCUAGAGAAUGUCCAUCGACCCCCGACUUCAUCCAUCUCCAUCCGUGUACUUUUGUUUAUGACCAGACUGAGCCACAAACUAAGCCUUACCCACUAGACAUGUGGAAGUACGGUAGUGCUUUGCAACAGAGGCCCGAGCUUAAUCCUUAUAGUGGCCGGGGUGCUACUUCCCACAACUGGCAUGCACCCAAACCCCACCGAAAACAGGUUUUAGGGGUUUUGAAAGAGGAAGAGAGGUGUAUGUCCAAUUCCACCAUAAACCAACAAUUCCAUAGUGUCCAGGUGAUAUGAGAAUUCCCAAAGUCUAAAGUUAUAAAACCACCUAAUAUUGCCUAAUUAAUCAGCGAAGCAUCUACCUAAAUUCAUACUUGUGGAACCAUGAAUAGAGUGUCCACUAGUUGGGGUUUUGUUUAAUCUAGGGUGAACAAGGUAAUAAUAUCAAUAACAAUAAUAUUAAGGUCAUAACAAAGGUAAAUAGGCAUGGCUAAAUAAAACAGUGAUCACGCGGGAAUUUAAAUAAAGCGUUAAUGCAAUAAUUUAAAUCAAAAUAAUUUUAUAAACUGGGAUUCAAUAUGUUCAAGGAUGAUGUGACUUGCCUUGCUCAGAGAGAACGGCCUUCCGAACCUUCGGCGACGACCGCAAACCACGCUUCGGGAACCUCCGGAAUGACAGAAGCUACGCGAAGCACACAAGCAAAGCUACAAGCCUAUAAAGAAGCAAUAACAAUACAUAAAAAGAAAGCACAGGGUUCUUUAGGUUAUAACAAACAUUAAGAGACUUGAACGGGUCGAUUCGGAGUUCGUAUGACCAAGAUAUGAUCAUCCGAAGUUUAGUGCUGUUAUAUGGAGAUUUGCGGAUUAUUAUAAUUAAGCUUUGCAACAAUAAAACAUGUGUAAGCGCUAGCCUGGAAAAGACAGGAAGGCUGCGCCGUUGACAUGCGGACCCCACAUGUCAACCUAAAGGACCGCGGUAGACCGAGUACACAGAGUCGGUCCAUGGGUCGACGGAAGCGGAUCCCGUGUGUCAACCGAGGCGAGUGGCCGACAAACGGACUCCACUAGACACCACACGGGUUGCACACGUGGAAACCACGCGGCUACCGAGCGGGCACACUAACACGGACACUACACGGUCACCAUCCGCACACGUGAACGACUACCGACACCGGUACACGGGUACCGGGGUUGAUGACCGCACAACGAGCACGGGCGACACCGAAAGGACGAGGACAGGGCAGCGAGGGAGAGGGAUCCUUACCACCACGUGACGAGGCGCGGGAACGACAACGACGAACGGGCGCGGCGGAGACAGACGGGCACAACGGAGACGAACGGCGAGGGGACGGCUUCGGCGGCGAUCCUUGGACGAAGGCGAGACGCGGCCGGCACGAGGCUUGACGACGCGGAGCCGAGGACGAAGACGAGGACGGGGCUGCCGCGGCUCGCUUGACGAACGCUGACGACGAACGAGAACGGCUCGACGGAGGGACGAACGCCACGACGACCGAGAACGACGAGAGGACGACGACGACGACGACUGGGGCCGGCGAGGAGACGAUGAGGGCAGCCGGCGGCAGCUGCACGGAGACGGGGACGACGUGGAACGCGCCGCUGCGAAUCCGACGACGGAGGCGGCACCGCGAGACGACGAGCCGGCGAGGAUGAACGGUGAAGACGACGACGGACACCGGCGGUGUUCGGUCGGAGGGGAGGCGAGGCCGAGGACGACGUCGCGGCUGCGAUGCCGAAGAUGGUGGAGGUGUGGCCGACCGGUGCACGGCGUGGAGGGAGAGGUUCGCGGCGAUGUGCGGCGGCUUCCGGGCGAAACCGAGGGGUGGACGAGGUGGAGGGCUACGCCACCAUGCCGAGGGAGGGACGGCAGCGCCGGCUGAUGCACGGGCCCGGCGGAAGGGGGCUGCCGGAGGAGACGUCGACGAGGAGGAAGGAGAGGCCGACGCGGGCGACGGCGUUCCGGCGAAAUUCGGGCGACGCCGUGGCCUUGCCGGGAAAGAGGACGGCACUCCGGUGCCGGGAGAGGUGGUGGCGACGUCGGCCGGCGCACCGGGGACGCGGCAGAGGCGACCGGAGGCGGAAUCGUGGCGGCAACACCACGGUUGCCGGCGGGGAGGCACUUCCGGAGGUCUCCGCGGGAGACAGAGGGUAGGCCGGCGAAGAGGAGGCGGCUGCGAUGCUAGAGGAGGCGACGGCGCGACCGGACGGCGCUCCGGCGAGGAGGGAGAGGCGGCUGGAGGCGGCCGGCGGCACGGGAGAGAGGGGACGACGGCGGGGAGGUGGCUAGGGACCACGGGAGAGCCCGGGAGGAGACUAAAACGGUAGAACGCAAAGAGGGGGUUCUAUUUUAUAGGAUGGGGGAGGGAGCCGGGCACGGGAGGAGCGGGGAACGGCGGCGGAAAAGCCGGCCGGCGGCAAUGGAAGGCGGCCGGGAAUGGCGCGGCCGUUUCUGGCGAUUGGGGGCACCAUUCAAGGGGAAAUUAAGUGGGAAAGAGAGAGGAGGGAAAGGGGAUUAAUUCCCCCAAAUCAAUUUGGAAAUCCCAUGCUUGAAUCGCGCGGAUUUGAGGGAGGAAUGGCGCUAGGGUUCGCACGGGAGGGAGAGAGAGGAAGGGGCCGGGCGGGAGGAAGGGGACGACCGGCCUGGCGCGUGGGCCCCACGCGGUCAGGCGGCGGCGUCAGCGCGCGCACGCGCGCGGCACGGGCGGGAGGCGCGGCUCGGCUUGGGCCGGGCGAAGCCGAGGCGACCCAGGAGGAGAGGAGGGAGAGGAGGCCCGGGAGAGAGAGGGGAGGGGAGGGAGCUGGGCCGGGAGGGGAGGAGGCCCAAGAGGAGGAGGGAGAGAAGGAGAGGGAGAGAAAGAGAGGGAGGAGAGGGAGACUUCGGCCGCGGGCCGAGGGGAGAGAGGGAGGACUUUGGGCCAGACUUGGCCCAAAGGAGGAAGGAGGGUUAUUUUUAGGUUUUUCUUUUUAAAUAAACUUUGAUAAUUGUUUUUGUUGCUUAAUAAUUAUUUCCGGUGCUCUGAAAAUUCAAGUAAAAUUUGAGGGCUCCUUUUAGACCAAGGAUAAUUUAACAAAAAUUCUCCGGGCCACAUUCGAAUUUUUCUUGUACGUAUUUUAGUGUUUGCCAAAUUCUUUUCGAAUUUUAAUUAACUCUAUUAUUCCUUUUAGCGAAUGAUUUUUAAUUCGGGAUGAAUUUAUCAGGACGUGACAGUCUCCCCCGAGGAGGAAUGCGCCGCAGAAUCGGCGAAGUGGGCAUCCCAUCGGACCCCUCACUGUCCGAAAAGCCACAGCCAACUUGCACAACCUUCCCCUUCUUCUUCUUCUUCCUGGCAACAGCUCCCGGCUUCGCCGCAGAGCUAGAAAUCGCCAGAAGGGCAUUCGCUCCAGCAAUGUCUUGCGGGCGCACGGGCGAAACAUGAGAGCCCACCCCAGAUUUCACCCUAGCUGGGCUAGGAGUAUAACCAUGCGAUCCAUCAUCCUCAGAUCCGGCCUCCCUAUCGUCUUCUUCCUCCUCCCCACCAUCGCUUUCGGCCGCGUCCUUAGCGGCGCGACGAGUUCGCACCUGGCCACCCUUUGCAACCGCUCGUUUGCACUUCUUCGACGUACCGACAUCCUCGUCGCCGGCCCUAGAGGGGAUUGAUCAACCUGGCAGUUCGCCAACAUAAACUCGGUUCACCCGGCCAUCGGUCUGACGCUGAAGCAGGCGGGCGAAUUUGGCUGUGGUUAGGACGCCAACCAUUUUCGAUGCCUCCGUUUUGGCGUCCUCUAAGGUGUGAACUGAAAAAGAGAGGAAAAGGAAAACGAUGAAUUAGGCCGAAGUAUAUUUCCGCAAAAAGAAGUAUACGACACGGAGCAAAAGCAAAAACUCACGUUCGGCCCCGGUGGGGAGAACAAGGCGGGGAAGCCCGAGAACCUCUUUGUCCUCAUUGACGGAAACCCCCCAGACACGAGCAAGGGGGGAGAUCGGAAGAAGGCAAAACUCCUCGGAAAGGUCACGGGUACUUAGCCGCCGUGCGACCUUGCGAAGGAGUAUGAGCCGGGACUCGAGGGUUCCAUCGACCUCUAGGUUUGGCUUCACGACAAUGGAGACGGCGGAGCACUGGAAGCGGAGCUAGUUCGCCUUGUUGUCUUUAGUAGGGUAGGGGUUGGCGAUGUAGAGUCACUUUUGCAUCUAGUUCCUUUCCCAUUUGCCCAUCGAUGCAGGCACCGGCCAGGCGUCCGAACAUUCCAGCCGCAGCAUGAAGUUCACGCAACCGAAAACGGUUUUUCUUGGUCCGGCUGGCGUAUGCACGUCUUUGGUCGUGGCACAUGCUGUAAAUAGGACGGCGAACAGCUCGGCGGUGGGAGAGAACCUGCAGGUUCGGCACAUCCUAGCGAAGACAGCCAGCUUCGGGAUUGCUGACGGACUGAGCUAGGGAAGCCUAACCUCGUAUGUCGCCAGCACGGACGCCAGGAAAUCGUCACACGGGAGACGAAGCCCGGCGGCAAAGAAGGUGGCGAAGACGACCGUUCGCCCAUCGCCUGGCGAAGGGACAACGGCUUCGCCCCCACAUGUCCCUUGGCCCUCCGCGAGAGUGCCGGAGGAGACCAAUUCGGCCAAGUCGGCCUCUUUGACAAGCGAUUUGCCAAGAAAGCAUGACCACCCCUCCCCGAGGCUGCUAGGGUCUUCGCCAGUCGACCCGGCCUUGGUGGGCUUACGAGGAGCCAUCAGGUCCGUGGCGAAGGAGGAAUUGAGAAGCGAAAGAAAGUGAGAGUACAGAGGUGGCGAAGAGCUGAAGUGCAAACAAAUGCAGAGAGCACGGAGCGUGUUAAGUGGUAAAAAGUGAAGAGCGGAGGGGAAAAAAGCGGUAAGCCGGGCCGGGGUUAUAUAACCCCGUCGCGAGACCGUUCGGCUGCCAACCAAUCAAAUCCUGACAUGUGUCCAGGGGUAGAUGAAACGGUAAAUUCCCAUUGGACUGGAGCCGAACAGUAAAAGGCCGGGUGCGAGAAAGGAAAGGCCCAUGGGGCCCAUUACUAUUCAUAGUAAUAUAAAGAGCAGGCCAACCCCUUCGACACUUUUUGGCGAGCACAGGAAGGAAAUUUUCUUCAUGAUUUUUUUGUUAACAUGAGAGCAAAUUGUUUAAUUUGCAGACACACAAACAUAGGUUUCGGCAGGAACAUCGACCGAAAGGGGGCGCCUCGCGGUAUACCAUACGAUUUGCACGGUCUCGGCCGAAGCUCCCUACUCACCCUUGCUCGUGAGGGGCUUGUUGGAGGUAUACUGCGAAAGGCCUUCGGCCGGGCCUGCCGAAACCGAAAACUUGGGCGACAUGUUCAAACCGGAAGCAAGCGGCGAAGGUCGAAGAGGGAUACCAUAAGGGCGAAAGCCAUGGCUCGGGAAGUACGCGUGCUUCGUCGGACAGGGACCCCGUCAGGAGGCCACGCAGGCGAAGAUGGUGAGGCGAAAAGCUUCAGCCCGAAGGCAUGGGUUUCGCCAAGGUACCAUACCCCACUGUGAGGAAGCCCAGCGGGCUGUUGCGACCCUGUGGGGAUUCGCCAAGAUCAAUUGGCCGAGCCAUUUAGCCCAAUUGGGGCCAUACGUGUAAAGGACACUGUGUACCCCUAAUCAUCUCCCUAUCAUAAGGGUAACCAUGUAAAUUCUCCUGUAAAGCCUAAACCCUAAGGGGAGAGAACCUGUAAUAAGGUUAUAAAUAGCCCUUCUAGGCCAUGUAAUGGGGGAUCCCCAAAAAAAUUUUUACUAAGCAAUACAAUUGCCUUACUUUUCCAACAACUGUUUAGAGAACCACGCCUUUCGGUGUGACGCUGUUGUCUAUUCGACAACAGACAUGUCAUAAGGAAAAUUGGAACAUCUUCAAUAUUGUAAUACCCCAACCUCGGCGACGACAUAAUUACCUACUCCCUCCGUUUCACAAUGUAAGACUUUCUAGCAUUGCUCACAUACAUAUUGAUGUUAAUGAAUCUAAACACAUGCAUAUAUUUAGAUUAAUUUACAUCUAAAUUAAUAUGGGUAAUGCUAGAAAGUCUUACAUUAUAAAACGGAGGAAGUUUGUCUCAUUUACCCAAAAGAAUUGGAUUAUUUGUGUGGCUGUACACAUAUAAUCUGAAAAACUCUUUUUCAAUUUCAUUCUUGCAACUAAUAAUAGGAUUAAUCAAAUCCUAUACUGUCUCACAUGGUCACAUGGUCAAUUCUAGACAAAACAGAGCCACUGUGAACUCUUCUGUUAAUAUAUGUAUUAUUUUUAUAUGAUAUGCUAUCAAAAAUAUUAGCUAUACUUAACAAAGUAGUCUGAUAAUUCCAUACAGAGAUAUGAAGUGCCUUCAAUACACGAGAAUAGAUCGUGGAACACAAGCCGUCUAGGAGAUGGAAAAAAUCGAUGAUCCUAUCUGACCCAAGCCUCGAUCAAUUUGAUCUCGCUUCGAGAAAAAAAAGGCCCAAGCAAGACUUGUUUUAGAUCCACACAUCAGAACAUUCCAGGAACGCUUUGGAAAAACCAAACCGAUGAGGUAGAUGAUACAAAAGAUUAAAUUCUUUUUCAUGGAAUUGGAUGUUUUUUUCCUGAAACCGAUGAGGUAGAUAAGGUAGAUGUUUUUUUUCACAUUGCACAGUGCUAAACCGGAUUUUUUUUUAUAAACAUGAGGUUUUUAAUGCAUUGGGUUAGACAGUUUUUUCCGAGCGAUUUUUUUUAUAAACGAUGAUUUUUUCUCGUAUGGAGUUGGAUGGUUUUUUUUAUCUUUUUUUCGCGUGGAUUCGGACGGUUUUUUCAAUCCAUUUUUUUAUACACAAUGGAUUUUAUCUCAUGUUGAGUUGGACGUUUUUUUGAACCUGUAUUUUUAUAAAAGACUUCUUUUCCUCGUGUUGAGUCGACAGAUUUUUUCGAACAGGUUUUUUUAUAAAUGGCGUUUUCUUGCUUUUGAGUUAGGUUUUUUCUCUUUUUUUACAGACAACGGAAACUUGGCUUUUUUUUCUCAAUUGAAAAGAUGCCCGUGCAUUGCAAUGGGAAAAGGUGUUUUUUUCCAUUGGUACAACAGCUAUUAGGAGUUGAGGAAUAAAUUGAAAAAGCGUUACCUCCUACCUAGGGUUGUCAACGGGGCGGGUCAGGGGCGGGUUGGGCUGGAACGCCCCCGCACCCGCUCCCCGACUUCUCCCCCCAACCCCGGCCCCGCACAGGUGAUCGGGUGGGAAAUAUCCCCCCGUCCCCGCCCCUGCAGGGGACCCGUGGGUGAGCGGGGCUCCGUACCACCGACGGCAAACGCGAGAUGAGGAGGAAUGCAGCCGCCGCCACGGUGCAUGUGCCGCCCUUGACGUCGAUGGCGACGCCGACGCGGUUGGCCGCACCCCUGGCCGUCAACACCGCUGCCGCUGCAAGCUCCAUGGCCGUUGAUGCCGACGCAGAUGGCUGCGCUUGGCAGCCGCCGCCGCCGCCCGCGCCUUAACCGUCGACGCCGUCGCCCACCCCUUGGCCGCCACCGCUGCAAGCUCCAAGGCCGUCGACACCGACGCGGAUGGCGGCGCUUAGCAGUCGACGUGGAUGGCGGCGCUUGGCAGCCGACGCCGCCAUGGCCCGCGCCUGGCCACCGCCGCCGCCUGCGCCUUGGCCGCCAACGCCAUCGCUCUCCUUGUGAUGGGAGAGGAUAUUCCCAAUAGGCAAUAUGACACUGAAAGAGAUGGGUUGUUAAUUUUGACCAUGAUUCAGUUAUUAGAUUUAACACGAGUGCUCACACUUACAGUUAAUUAGACACCUGAGGAGACUUCAUCAAUCUCAAGUUAUGCCGGUAAAGAGUUUCAAAUGUGUUAAUAGAAGUAGGAUGUGUGUAUAUACAUACACAGGGGUAUGUGCACGCACUGUAUCCUUUUCUAAAAAAAAAGGAAUAAGUUCACCGGAGGUCCCUCAACUUAACAGCGAGAUUUUUUGAAAUCCCCUAACCAUAAACCAGAAAUGUGUGCCCCUAAAUUUACACAAGCCGUGCACACAAGGACCUAUACAGUAUAUAUGGGUGGUUUCACUGACGUGGCAUCCUAGUCAGAAAAAACAUUUUAAAAAAUACAUGGGACCCAUACACUGGUGGAGAAACCAUCUUUCGUCGGUCGGCCGAUUUCCACAGUAGUCCCGGAUGCAAUAAAAACCGGGGCUAAAGAUGUUCUUUAGUCCCGGUUCAAAAGGGUAACGGGCAUAUUUGAUCUUUAGUCCCGGUUUGUGUUACCAACCGGGACUAAAGAUGAUCUUUAGUCCCGGUUCGAAUGCUGUCAGGGUCUGUCAGGCCCUCCCGGUAUCUUUAGUCCCGGUUGAUAACACCAACCGGGACUAAAGAUGGUAACUUUAGUCCCGGUUGGUAAUACCAACCGGGACUAAAGAUCCCGGUGAUCUUUAGCCCCGGUUGGUGCUACCAACCGGGACUAAAGUCCCACCCCUAUAUAUAUGUCUUCUUCCUCCUCCAGCUGCCCGAGCAAGCUUCAAAAUUUCUUCAAAAAAGAGGGGAGGUCAUGCCAAAAUUUCUAUUGAAUUUAUUUUGGUGAUUACAUACAAAUCGGAGGUGCCUAAAAGGUUUGCAACUUCAUCCUCCAAUGUUUUUUUUGUCAUACUACAUUUGCACCUAUGUUUUGCACACUUUUUUUGUCUCCAAAAUGUAGUUGUAAGUUGAUGAGAGAGAAAAUGUGUGUGGGGAAGAAAGAAUAUAUAGAAAUUUAGUUCAUUUGCUAAACAAGGUUUUAUAAAAUAGUUGAGAAGGAAAACUCUAGUGAAAGUUAAUCUUAAAUAAUAGAAAACAAACUAAAAUGAAAAUUAAAAGAAGUAAAACACAUUAAAAUUAGUUUAUUACUUAACAAAUAGUUUUUAAGAAUUAUUUGGUGUAAUAUUUUAUGAUUUUUGUAUGAAUAAAGAUAUCUUAUAAUUAUUGUAUGACUGUCAUUAUUGUAAGAAUAAUUAUUUGUGUACGGUUUUUUUGACUCAUGUAGAUGGAUCGGCAAUGGAUGUACGCUGACCGGCGGUCCAAAGAGUUUAUUGACGGCGUGCACUAUUUUUUGAGAGUGGCCGAAGCUAACAGGAAAAGGGGUUUUAUUUGUUGUCCAUGCAAUAAGUGUAAGAAUCAGAAGGAGUAUUCUGCAUCCAGGACUAUUCAUUUCCACUUGUUUGAGUCGGGGUUCAUGCCAAGCUAUAAUUGUUGGACAUCCCACGGAGAGCAAGGUGUUGAAAUGGAAGAAGAUGAAGUGGAAGACGACAAUAUUCCGGACUUUGCUCAAUUUGUUGGAUUUGAAGGAAAUCAAACGGGCGAGGAGGAAAUAGCUGCUGAUGGUAACGACGUUGCGGAUGAUCUUGGUCAAAUGUUGCAGGACGCCAGGGAGGACUGCGAAAGUGAAAAGGAGGCCCAUAAAUUGGACAAGAUGUUGGAGGACCACAGAACUUCGUUGUACCCAGGUUGCGAGCAGGGGCACAAAAAGUUGGAUACCACUCUGGAGUUGUUGCAAUGGAAGGCAAAAAAUGGGGUUAGUGACAAGGCAUUUGGCGAUUUAUUGAAACUCGUCAAGAACAUUCUUCCGGGGGGAAACAAAUUGCCCGAGACAACGUACGAGGCUAAGAAGAUAGUCUGCCCGUUAGGACUGGAAGUUCAUAAGAUUCACGCAUGUCCGAACGAUUGUAUCCUAUAUCGCGGUGAGGAGUACGAGAACCUAGAAGCAUGCCCUGUUUGCAAAGCACUACGAUACAAGAUUAGACGGGACGAUCCAGGAGAAGUUGACGGGCAGCUAACAAAGAAGAGAAUUCCUGCUAAGGUGAUGUGGUAUUUCCCUAUAAUACCACGGCUAAGGCGUUUGUUCAGGAACAAGGGGAAUGCUAGAAUGUUGCGAUGGCACGCUGAAGAGCGUCAACAGGACGGGAUGCUGAGACACCCCGCCGAUGGUUCGCAGUGGCGAAACAUCGACAGAAAAUUUAAAGAAUUUGGAAAGGACGCACGAAACAUACGGUUUGGUUUGAGUACGGAUGGCAUGAAUCCUUUUGGAGAGAUGAGCAGCGGCCAUAGCACUUGGCCCGUUACGAUGUGUAUCUACAACCUCCCCCCCUGGCUAUGCAUGAAGAGGAAGUACAUAAUGAUGCCGAUUAUUAUUCAAGGCCCCAAGCAACCUGGUAACGACAUCGACGUGUACCUAAGACCACUGGUCGAGGAUUUUAAACAGUUGUGGAAGAAGGAAGGUGUCCCCGUGUGGGACGAGGACAAACAGGAGGAGUUUAACCUACGAGCGCUGCUGUUCGUAACCAUCAACGAUUGGCCUGCACUUAGCAACCUAUCCGGACAGUCCAACAAGGGGUACAAGGCUUGCACUCACUGUAUGGAUGAAACAGAAAGUACGUAUCUUAAGCACUGUAGGAAGGUUGUAUACAUGGGUCAUCGUCGAUUCCUUGCAGCAAACCACCCGGUACGGAAGAAAGGCAAGCACUUCGAACAUAAGGCCGACCACCGUACGAAGCCUAAACAUCGCAGCGGGAAAACAGUGUUUGCUAUGGUUAAAGAUCUUAAAGUAGUGUUCGGAAAGGGGCCUGGAAGCCAGCAUAUAGAGAGCGAAGAUGGUCACGCGGCGAUGUGGAAAAAGAACUCUAUAUUUUGGGAGUUACCAUAUUGGGAAUUCUUGGACGUACGCCACGCAAUCGACGUGAUGCACCUCACUAAGAACCUUUGCGUAAACCUUCUUGGCUUCCUAGGUGUAUACGGAAAGUCGAAAGAUACACUGGAAGCACGUAAUGAUCUGAAGCAUAUGGAACAACGCGGCGACCUUCACCCGGAACCAAAGGAGAAAGGAAGCCAUUACUUGAGUCCAGCCAGCUACACUCUUAGCAAGGCAGAGAAGGAAAGUAUGUUUGAAUGCUUGGAGAGCAUAAAGGUACCGUCUGGAUACUCCACGAAUAUCAAGCGAAUAAUAAGCACGAAGGAGAAGAAGUUCACAAACCUAAAGUCUCAUGACUGUCACGUGUUGAUGACACAACUGCUACCAGUUGUAAUAAGGGGUAUCCUUCCAGACAAUGUCCGGGCAACAAUAACAAAGCUAUGUGCAUUCAUGAACGCAAUUUCGCAGAAGGUCAUCGAUCCGGAUAGAUUAGAUGCCCUUCAGAAUGAAGUGGUGCAAUGUCUCGUCAGUUUUGAGUUGAUAUUUCCACCUUCAUUUUUCAAUAUAAUGACACAUCUGCUUUGUCACCUUGUGAAAGAGAUCCGUAUUCUCGGGCCUAUGUACCUACACAACAUGUUUCCUUUCGAGAAGUACAUGGGCGUUCUGAAGAAGUAUGUUCGUAACCGUGCUCGUCCAGAGGCAAGCAUCGCCAAGGGUUAUGGAACAGAGGAGGUCAUCGAAUUUUGCGUAGAAUUUAUCGAAGACCUUCGCCCAAUCGGGGUACCGGAAUCACGCCAUGAAGGGAGACUACGGGGAAAGGGAACUCUCGGAAGGAAAGCAAUUAUGACGGUAGACAACAAUUUAUUCCGUAAAGCCCAUUUCACUGUUCUGCAACACUCUUCAUUGGUAGCUCCUUACAUCGAGGAGCACUUGGCUCUAGUUCGCGCCAGGAACAUCGGUAAGUCCGAUGUAUGGAUUACACGGCAUCACAUUGAUACUUUCCCCGCGUGGCUACGACAACAUCUCAUGGGUAACGAGUCGAUCAACCAACAACUUGCCUUCCUGGCGAGGGGACCGUCUGGGUCGAUCGCGACAUUCCAGGGAUAUGAGAUCAAUGGGUACACAUUCUACACGAGAGCCCAAGACAUGAAGAGCACGAACCAAAACAGCGCUGUUCGUGUCGAUGCCAUGGGACACGAUGGAACAACUGCCACGUAUUACGGUGCCAUCGAGGACAUAUGGGAACUUGACUAUGGUCCUCUCAAGGUUCCUCUGUUCCGGUGCCAAUGGGUUAGGUUGACUGGUGGAGGCGUAAUGAUUGAUGACAGUGGGAUGACAACUGUUGACCUUAACAAGGUUGGAUACUCGGACGAACCUUUUGUCCUUGCCAAUGAUGUAACGCAAGUCUUUUUCGUGAAGGACAUGUCUAGCAAAGGAAAGAAGGGCAGAGGGCCUGAUGAGCCUAAGCGUCAAGUGGUUCUCCCAGGCAAAAGAAAAAUCGUCGGAGUUGAGGACAAGACUGACGAGGAUUACGAUCAGUUGGAUGGGCAACCCCCUUUCACGGUGACGAUUGACCCUAGCAUCCUCCUAUCAAAUGAAGACACCCCUUACUCACGCAGCGAUCACAAGGAGGGAACAAUAGUGAGGAGAAAGUACGUGCGGUCAACCGUCACCGCCGAUGUAAUGCUGUAAUUAUUGUGUACACGAUGUAAACUAUUUUGGAUGUAUUGAUUAUCCAUAUAAAUCAAUUGAUGUAUGGCAUAUGUUAAUUACGCACGAUUAUUAGAGGUUUCAACAAGUUCAAAUCAUGUAUAUGCUAGUUAUAUGUGAUACUUACAAUUUUUAAAAGUUUUAAAUCACAGGUGGCAAUUUCAUAUGUACGUUAAUUAGAGUUUUUAACAUUUAAUUUACUAGCAUUCAUAUGCUAAUUAUAAUUGACUAGAGGAUUUUUAAAAGUUUUAAAUCACGCAAGUGGCAAUUUUAUAUGUUAAUUAGAGUUUUUAACAUUUAAUUUACUAUCAUUCAUAUGCUAAUUAUAAUUGACUGGAGAAUUUUUAAAAGUAUUAAAUUUAAUAUAUUUUUAAAACUAUCAUUCAUAUAUUAGAGUUUUUCACAAUUUAAUUUACUAUCUUUCAUAUGCUACUUAUAUAUGACUAUUCGAAUUUUUAAAAGGUUUUAAAUCAUGCAUGUGGCAUUUACAUAUGUUAAUUAGAGUUUUUAGCAUUUAAUUUAAUAUAAUUCCUACGCUAAGUAUAUAUGAUGAUUACAAUUUUUAUUAAUUUUAAAUCAUGCAGUAUGUACAUACAUAUCUUAAUUAGAGUUUUUACCAAUAUAAUAAUAUCAUUCAUAUAUAUGCUAAGUAUAUAUAUAUAUAUUGGAAUUUUUAUUAAUUAUAAGUCAUAUAUUUGCUUAUUACGAUUUAUCCACUUAAUUUAUUACAGACAAAAAUAAUUUUUCGAAGUAAUUGUCAUUAAUCUUUAGUACUUUAAAUAAUGUUAAUGCAUUAACUUCUAUUUUAUAAACACAUAUGUAAGCGAAAAUCAUAUGCAGUGCUAUAAUCUUUAGUCCCGGUUCUUAACCCUAACCGGGUUUAAAAAGAAUUUCGAAAUAGCGGGAAAAGAUAUUUACUCCCGGUUGUUGAGAACAACCGGGACUAAAGAUAUCUUUAGUCCCGGUUGUUCUCAACAACCGGGAGUAAAUAUCUUUUCUUUACUCCCGGUUGUUCUCAACAACCGGGACUAAAGAUAUCUUUAGUCCCGGUUGUUGAGAACAACCGGGAGUAAAGAUCCGGGGGUAUAUAUAUUCCCGGUGCGCCCUCGUCUUCUUCACCAACACUUAAACGUUUUCGGCCGAUCGAUCUCUCUCGGCCUCUCUCCUUCGCCGCCACUGCCUAGGGCAAAUCCCCGCGCCGACGCCGCCGUAUCUCGCCGUCGUCUCGAGCUCGUCGUCCUCGCCGCCGCCUCCGCCUCCUCCGCUGCCGCCGCAUCUCUGGGGUGAGAGCCGCCGCCGCCAGAUCUCCCUUUAUCUCUCGAUCUCUCCGAUCUCAGCUCGAUCUCUCUCCGUCUCUCUCCGUCGCCGCCGCCACGCCACGCCGCCGCCGCCACGGCCCCGCAACGCCACGCCGCCGCCGCCGCCGUCGCCACGCCACCGUCGCCACGCCGUCACCACGCCGCCGCCGUCGCCACGCCGCCGUCGCCACGCCGUCGCCACGCCGCCGCCGUCGCCACGCCGCCGCCGUCGCCACGGCGCCAACCGCCGCCCCGAUGCCGCCACGGCCCCGCAACGCCACGCCGCCGCCGCCGCCGUCGCCACGCCACCGUCGCCACGCCGUCACCACGCCGCCGCCGUCGCCACGCCGCCGUCGCCACGCCGUCGCCACGCCGCCGCCGUCGCCACGCCGUCGCCACGCCGCCGCCGUCGCCACGGCGCCAACCGCCGCCCCGAUGCCGCCACACCGCCAUUAACGAACGAGAACGAGAACGAUCGAACGAACGAGAAGCGAGAACGAACACGUCAACGUACGUUGCCGUGAGAACGUGAACGAGAACGAGAACGAUCGAACGAACGAGAGCGAGAACGAACACGUCAAUGUAUGUUGCCGCGAGAACGUGAACGAGAACGAGAACGAUCGAACGAACGAGAGCGAUAACGAGAACGAUCGAACGAAGACAAGUGAGAACGAGGGAACGAACGUGAACGAGCUAGGGAACGUGAACGAGCGAACGAACGAGGACGAACGUUAACGUGAAAUGCAAUAUAUAUAUAUAUAUAUAUGUAUAUGUAUAUAUAUGUAUAUAUAUAUAUAUAUGUAUAUAUAUAUAUAUGUAUAUGUUACUUCGCAUUUGACUAUAUACAUCUUUUUGUAUCUUGCAGAAAAGACGUGUUGUCGGAGUCGUCCGUCAAGCCUGAGUGGAAGAGCUAGCCCUAGAAGGAAUUGGAGCAGGCAAGUGACGUAAUAAUAUAAAUGAUUGUUAUAUUUGUAAUGCAAUUAAUUAAGAUUAUUAGACCUGUAAUUAGACUUAUCAUAUAAGAUUGUGUAGUGUUCUAAUAUUAUUUGAGUUUUAAUAUAAGAUUACUUUAUUUGUAAUUAGACUUAGUAUGUAAUUAUUGACUACGGAAGUGGUGCGACAAGUAGCAAUUGACUAUUGUAGUCUUAAUUAGACUUAGCAUAUACGCACGAAACACUUAGCAGACAUGACUAUUUUAGUCUUAGCAUGUAAUAUUAUUUGAGUUUUAAUAUAAGAUUACUUUAUUUGAGAUUAGACUUAGUAUAUAAUUAUUGACUACGGAAGUGGUGCGACAAGUAGCAAUUGACUAUUGCAGUCUUAAUUACACUUAGCAUAUACGCACGAAACACUUAGCAGACAUGACUAUUUUAGUCUUAGCAUGUAAUAUUAUUUGAGUUUUAAUAUAAGAUUACUUUAUUUGAGAUUAGACUUAGUAUAUAAUUAUUUACUACGGAAAUGGUGCGACAAGUAGCAAUUGACUAUUGUUGUCUUAAUUAGACUUAGCAUAUAUGCACGAAACACUUAGCAUACAUGACUAUUUUAGUCUUAGCAUGUAAUAUUAUUUGAGUUUUAAUAUAAGAUUACUUUAUUUGUAAUUAGACUUAGUAUAUAAUUAUUUACUAGCUAGGGUUGUAUAAUAUACGUCACCUAGACUUAGCUUAUAUCACGAUUUGUAUUUAGACUUAGCACGUAAGUUUGUGUAGGGUUCUAAUGUACGACAUUUACACUUAGCAUACAUGACUUAGAUUGUUAAAACAUAAAUGUCUCGUGGCUUAGCAGAUGUUUCUUGUAUCAACAGAUGGCUGACCGCGAUGAGGAACAGAUAUUGUACGAUACAAUCGCGGAGGGAAGCAGCCAGUACUGGAAUGAAGAAGAGGGGAACGAGGAUCCAAACCAGUACUUGAACGAGGAAGGGAACGUGGAGAGGGAUGCGGAGGGGAACCAGCAGGGGCACGUGGAAAGGGAUGUGGAGGGGAACCAGGAGGAGGAGGCUAGUGGUAGUCAACCCUCCGUUGGACAGAAGAGGGCACGCGGGCAACGAGGUGCAGCGAAGAAGCUUGAGGGUCGGCACAUCAUAACGGAAGUGGAAGAAGAUGGACGUCCUAGUGCCCCGGCCGAAGCCGCCAAGAACUAUGUACGUCACAGCGGUUGGGUUGUGCGGGAUAACGUGCCUGUCAGUACGGUGUACUGGCGAAGAACAAGGGCACGAGGAGAUCAUGAGAGCUUUGUCCCAGAUUCGGAGAAAGAGAUGCUGUGGACCACAAUGCUCGAGACAUUCACCCUUCCUGCGGGUACAGAGGACAAAGUGAAAAGGUGGACUCUGAAGAAAAUGGCAGAACAGUUUCAGAGCUUCAAGGGAGAUCUGUACAAGAAGUAUAUACUGAAGGGGCAGACACCGAACUUCGACACAUUCCCAAAGCUAAGGGAUCACUGGGACGAGUUCGUUGCAUAUAAGAUAGGUGAACAAGGGCAGGCGAUGAUGGAAAGAAACAAAGAAAAUGCCGCCAAGAAGAAGUACCAUCACCACUUGGGGUCAGGAGGCUAUAGCGUCGCGAUGCCGAAGUGGGAGGAGAUGGAGGCUAGCUUGAUUGAGAGGGGUAUCGAACCGGCAACAGCCAAUUGGCCGGAACGAUCGAAGUUCUGGUACUAUGCUCACGGUGGAACGCUCAACCCAGCUGAUGGCUCACUGGUAUUCGGCGUUCAGAUACGAGAGGCUGCGCAACGACUAACAGAUGCAGUGGAAGCCUCCUCUCAGGGCACGUUCCGACCCGACAGAGAUAGGGACGAGCUGACACUCGCCCUGCAGACUCCAGAGCAUCCAGGACGAACACGAGGGAAAGGGGUGAUUCCUUGGAAGAUUGGUUUCAAGGAGGACAUCCACACGUACAGGAGUCGGAUGAGGAGCAAGAGAGAUACCGAGGCGAAGAUUGCAGACCUAGAGUUCCGGGUAUCGAGCUACGAACUCAACAUGCAAGAGGAGGUGGCAAGGAAGGUUGAUGAACGCAUGGCCGCACAUCGGUCCCAUGAUCCCCAGCCGACCAUUCCUCCUGCAAUGGUGAGCCCGUCAGGAAACCGUAGCAGCUGCGCCUCAACGGGGCAGGUAGGAUCGCAGAGCAUGGACGCCAUGCAAACACAGGACGAAUCGACCUGUCCCGUUGAUGACAUCACUCAGCGGACACCAUGUGAGCUGCAUAUUCCUUUCAAGAACUUAUCAAUAAAGGUAAGAUUUAGCCAUUCCGCUAGUUCCUGCUUAUAUAUGUUGAUUACUAAUAAAUAAUCUCUCACAACAUGAAGGUGGCGUCGGGCAUGGCCAUCCCAACGGACCCUUCAGGUACUUACCACUGCAGGCCGAUUCCAGCAGGAUACUCGAAGGUCGAAGUUGAGUUGGUCGAAGGCGCGUACGAGGACCUCGAGCUGGAUUACCCUGGAGGAGACGGUGAGACGCAUCUACGAGACACAAGCCAUGCCAUUAUUCUAUGGCGCAGGCGGUACAUCAUCCUCCCUGGGCGACAAGCGGCGUCUCGUGCACCAUCUCCUCCGGCUCCGCCAUCUCCUCCUCAUGAUCCUGCACCGUCUCCUCCUCAUGCUCCGCCAGCACCGUCUCCACCUCAGGCUCCAGCAUCGACUCCUCCUCAGGAUCCUGCACCGACUCCUCCUCGUGCUCCUACACCUACUCCCCCGCAAGCUCCUCUUCCGGCACCUUCAAAGUCAAGGGCCCCCCCAGCUGCACCGCCUGCCCACACAAGGGCAACGAAGAAGGCGAAAGUUGACGCCGCCAAGAACAAGGACCCGGGGUACGAUUGCACGCAAGAGGAGCUGGACGCUUACGUUGCAUCAGAAGUCAAGAGACAAUUCAAGCCUCGAAGUCCAGAAAAGAAGAUUCCUAUAGACCCCAGUGUCAGGAACUUCUUCAGGGGUAUGUCUGCAUCUGUCAAGGAGGCCAUCAAGCUAUCGGACUAUGAGCGAACGCUGAAGAAAGCAUCUUCUGGAAAGUCCAAACCAGUCCCUCAGCUUGGAGAGCAACCAAAACAGGAGAUCGAGCCGUUGGUUACCGGUAAAGAAAUGACGAUAGAACAAUUUAUUACUGACACCGGUCUAACUACGGAUCAAUUGCUAGGAGUCGCACCAAUCGAAAAGGCGGAAGUGAAAUACAUGUACGAACUCGGUAAACCGCUUGUCAAGCCUGAGCUGCUGCAGUCCCUACCCACACAAAUGUACAAGUUCCAUCAGCUGUACAUGGAGAUGAGCGCCGCCGGUAGAGAGAUGAUCGGAGCGAGGAUCAGGGACACGGACUUCUUGCAAGGAGAUGACAUUCUCUGGAUCAAUUUCAAGGGAAUCUACGAACUAUACCAGCUGGACGCCCUCGACGUCUCUAUUAUGAGUUGCUGGAUUUUGUAAGUAUAUCGUUCGGUUAGAUUUCUUACUAUACGUCUCCUUUAAUAAAUUAGGUCCUUGUAUAUAAGUAGACUAUAGAAAAUAAUAUACUCCCUUUUAUCGUUGUAGAAUGGAGAUUCAAAGGGCCCGACGGCGGAGGGUUUUCGAUACUGGAUUCAUCGACCCUCGGAGAGUAAACGUCGCAAUGCUCGACCAAUAUCCACAAGAAACAGAGGACAAUCUCGUCCAUCUCCUGAAGGCGCAGCAUUACAAGACGUUCAUACUGUUGCCAUACAACACAGAGUUAGUUUAAUUUUACUGUCUUCCUACAUACCAAAUUUCAUUCCCGUACGAACUUGCUAAGUGUUUCAUAUGUAAUGCAUCCCACGCACAUUGCAGAUUCCACUGGGUGCUUUUACUCAUCGACCUGGAGGCCUGCACCGUCAACGUAUAUGACUCAAUGGAUAAAAAAGAGUCUACGUUUGACAAGGUUUUCGAACUUAUAGACAGGUACCGUCAUAAGUUCCUUUGUUAAUUAAGAAAAUCUUGUUAUGUUAAUUGCUACUACGAAUCAUAGCUUUAAACUCCAUGUAGGGCUUGGUAUCGGUUCCGUCAUUUGGUCCGCGGCAAAUGGAGAGAAAGACUUAGGCGGAAGUUCAAAUUUCCUGUGAGUACACAUGCUCUACAUUUAUAUUUCUCCGAUUCAAAUACAUACAAGUGUAUAUUAAUUAGAUCUCUCGUUGUUUGUCAUUUAUUUGUAGUGCGCAAAGCAAAAGCAGGGAACUAACUUGUGCGGCUAUUAUGUGUGCGAGUAUUGCCACUGCCUUGCAGACCAAAUCAUCACCACAAGAGAGCUCGAUGUACGUACAAAUAAAUUCAAAAUUUCAUUACGUAGCGAUUUCUUGUUUAAUUACUAAUCAAUUUCAUACAUUCAUAUAGUUUAUUCGCAUGAGGGAUAACCUGACCACACACAAGGAAUUUAUCACGGCGGUUCAAGAACAACUCAUGGGAUUCAUCAACGAAGAAAUCCUUAAUCCCAAGGGUGAAUUCUACUACGACGGAAACACAAUUCACCGGUCCUUAGCUUCUGAGCUAGCAGCGAGUACUACUACGUCGAAAUGAUAGCUAGCUAGCUAGGACAUAUAAUGGAUUGUAAUUAAUACAUGACUACAUAUGUUUCUAUAUGCAUGUGUACACAUUUUCUAUAAUGUAAAUAUAUUUUGGUCAUAUAUAUAUAUCUAUAUACAUAUGCAUUAAUUUGCAUAACAUAUAUAUGUGUAUAAAUACAUAUAUAUUAUGCAUGUAUAUACAUAUAAUAUAAUAUAAUAUAUAUAUAUAUAUAUACAUAUAUAUAUAUGUAUGCAUAUAUAUGUAUUGAAACAUAUAUAUGCAUGGUUUAUAUAUAUAUAUAUAUAUAUAAACUAUAUAUAUAUAUAAACCAUGCAGCAACAGGGCCAUGCAAAAAAAAAAAUGGUCAGCUCGAUCUUUAGUCCCGGUUAUUUCACCCGGGACUAAAGAUAGCGAUCUUUAGUCCCGGAUUGGUACUCCCGGUUUGGAAACCGGGACUAAAGGGGGGUUACGAACCGGGACUACAAAGGGUUUCUCCACCAGUGAUAUAUCAUCUGCACAUCCUUUUUCCUUCUCUUUUCUCCUUCUUCUCCUCUCUUAUCUCGUUUCUCUCUUCCCUUCUUUGGGCCGGCGGCGGGCGGAAUCGGUGAGCGCGGAUGAGGGCGGCGGGCGAGCGUUGGGGAGGCUGCGGUGGGCGGUGGCGGUGGGGAGGAGCCGUUCUACGUGCCGUGGUGCAAGCGGCUGUCGGUGGACGGCAAGGCAUCCACGACGCUACGGAUAUGCAUCUGGGAGUGAGACGGUGAGGCCAGGGACAACACCUGCGACAUCGUCGCCGCGCCGCUCCGCCGCAGCUGCAGCGCCAAGGCAAUGCCGCUGCCAGCCCCGCUCUUCCGAAUGAUGACGCCGCCGCCGAGGCCGCAGAGAGGGGACGGGGAGGAGGCCAGGAGGCCUGGAGAGGCCAUCCGCAAGGGGCACCGGAGCUACAGUCUCAUGGUCAACCUGCAGCUUGGCGUAAGGUGAUACCAAUUGCUCUAUCCCUUCCUGCUCUUCCUCCCACUUUCUCAAAUACUCUGUCCCAAUGUUUGGUUUGGUUUUGGUCCCUGUGGUGAGCUGCAGCUAUUCGGUGGGGGAAGUCGUCGGCGCUGCCAUUCCAGAAGCUCGCCACAUCGGACUUUGACCCGUGGGAGAAGCUCUGCCGCCACGCUCACCCACCGUCCGCUCCGCCCGCAGCCCGCCACCGCGCUCACCCGCCGUCUGCUCCGAGCACAACCUGCCGCCGCUCUGCUGCCACACUCACCCACCGCCGCGCUCGCUUGCCGCCCACGUCCGGGCUCGCCGAUUCCGCUCGCUGCUAGCCCGAAGAAGGCAAGAGAGAAGAAAAAAAAAAGAUGUGCAGCUGACAUGUGGACCCCACCUAUUUUUUUAUUUUUUUUAUUGACUAGGAUGCCACAUCAGCGAAACCACCCAUAUAUUGAUAUAUACUUGUUAACGACCAAAUUUGGUAAUUCAAGUAUGGGGGAUUGUUGGCGAUAUGGCAUGAGGCCUUCGACCAAAUCUGCUGAAACCAGUAAGGAUUCAAGCCCGAAACGUCAAGUUUAGUCAGGGCGAAGCCCCCCAUGGCGUAGACUAAGAAGCAAGGACCGCGAGAGGCAGGGAAUCGCGCGGGUACCUUGCCAGGCCAGAGGCCUCCUGGGCGAAGGAUGCAGGGCGAAGAGUAUACGCGGAAGGGGGACAACUUCGCCAUAGCAAAUUCGACCCCGGGAGGACCAAAGAAGCCAUCCUAGCCCAUCAAGCCUAAGGGCUAAUUGGGUCGAUAAUCGCUUGACGGCCCGCUAAGGGCCCAUGGACCACAAUUACACUAUGUACCCAUGUAAAUGUCCCUUUCAUAAGGGCAACCAUGUAAAUUCCUCUGUAUAACCAAAACCCUAGUAGUAAGAACCUGUAUGCUAUAAAUAGCCCCAUAGGACCAUGUAAUAGGGGGAUCCUAAGAAAAAUUCUCAAUUUAAUACACUUUACUUCUUUCCCAACUACUGUUGAGUGACCACGUGUUUCGACGUAUGCGGUUGUCGUUUCGAUCACAGGGAUGGAGAUAAAACCGAAGCGGAAUCCAAGGUAGAGAUCGUUCCGGAAACAGAGCAAGAAUCAGCUAAAGUCCGAAUCGGCCGCGACCAGGAUCGGCAGAGUUCGAGUCGGACAAGGGUAGUCGAUUGAGUCGAUUCCGACAAUGUGAUUUGGUACACGUUGUCAGAUUGGGUUAAUGUGCUUCAUAUGGAUUGCCACGCACGGACUAAGUCCUGAAAAGGCAAUUGUAUCUAUUAGUUAGGAUAUUUUAUGUAAUUUCCUUAGAGAUAAGUUUGGGCAAAAGUCUGCCGCAAAGACUUAUGGUAUCUUAGAGUUUGUUAGAGAUAAGAGUCGUGUACGACAAGAACAUAGUUUGUAUCUCGGGUAUAAAUAUGACCCGAACCCAUGUAAUCAAACAAUCUCGGUGCAUCGCCACCCUUUUACUUUUGUUUACUUUCGACGAGUUCUUGAUUUCGGGUUGAGCUGCAUCGGUUUCGAUCUUCAACUAGAGGUAAAAUAUGUUAUGGCGGCUUGCGUUCUCAGGAUUAGUGCUUCUAUCUUUAUGAUACUCUAAUCUUGUUUAUGUAAUUCGUCGAGUUAUCAUAUAUCUUAUGUAAUCUUUGACAAUAUUGCUAUCUAACCCUCAAUCGGCGAACAUCUAUCAUUGAAAGGCAACCGAUUAGGUUAAAUAUCAAUAUUGACUCAGAUUAUAUAGGAUAUCCACCACCCUAUGAAACAUCCAACGGCUUGAUAGUCUAGAUAUUGUCUUUCUUUUCAUACUUAUAGCUGCAUCAGUUGAGUUUGACCUUAUAAGUCGUGAUUAGAAUCUUAAUCUCUAGCCUGUCUUUGCUUGCCGAUUUGGGUAGUAUCGUGGUUUCAGCCGAUCUUACUUGAUUUAGCCUUAUAUCUUAUGUGCUAGAUUGAUAUGUUAAAUCUACCCUUUAUGCUAAGAUCUUGUCGCAUCUAGGUAUAUUAAGCUUCAUGUUUGAUAUAUUUUGCCCGAUUUAAUAUCUUAAUAUAGAGUGGUAUCGGAGUAUUAGCCGAUACAUGUUAAAUCUAUCUGAUCGGCUAUGCUAUGAAUGCUAUAAUCUCCUUUUUAAUAUAUAUUUCGAUCUAAGUGAUUUAUACUGUCUCGGCAUGGCGACCGAUCUAUCCCAAUCACAUGAUUUAAGUAUAUAUUGAUGGAAGUAUUAUAUAUCAUUAAUAUCUUUAGCCGAUCGAAUACAUUUAGUCCUUUCUUACCUAUUUAUGAUUGCCGAUCGACUUAAAUAUGACAUCGGCUCAAAGAUAAAUAAUACAUCAUCGGCGACUGGCCGAUCGGCUAUCGUUUAUGGAUUUAACCGCUAUUUUUCUAUCUUUAUUUCUUGUUGAUUGCAGGAUCAAAUCAACUAGCACGCUCACGAACCUAAAGGUAAGAUUUUUGGACUUGCACUGAAGUUAAGCAGAUCUUCCAGGCCAGUGUGUGUUUUUCGCAUCAACAAUACUGCCAUAGGAUGCCCUCCCGGACAUAGACUCGGGCCCCACGUGCGGGGCCAUCCUGGAGGCCCUCGUCGGGGUGGGAGGCGACCGUGGGAGCGGCGCCGACGAGGUCAUGGUGGUCGGCGGCGGAGUCGGAGGCUGCGGGGACGAGGAGGAUAGGGUUCUGGUGGUCGGGGAGGAGCGGGACGAGAAGCUUGGUUCUCACAAUGGCUACGUCGAGGGGAUCAGGGAAGGAAUCGCUGGUUCGGAUCGCGCAAAAGGCAAUGGAGAAGAGGGGAAGAAGAUGGAGGUGGUGGUGGUUGCUGUGGAGAAGACGAUCUUGGUGGAAGAUUUCUCGUGUGAGCUCGAUUGGUAACUCUAGUACUCUACUACUACAUCUUCGCACAAUGAUGUGAGUUUUUUUUUCUUUUCCAGUUUGUUUGGUUAAACUAGUCUCUUAGAAGUUAGAUGUACUACGAUUUACUGUAUUUUUUUCUCGGUUGUUGUUUGUUAGAAUGUGAUGCUUGGCUUUUAGAUCAGAUGAGAUCCCAUGAAGUCAUGUUUCACUGCCGAUGGUUGUGAAUGUGGCUGUUCCGCUGUUCCCCUUUCAGGAUAUUUGUUCAACUUAGGUAUAUGUACAAAUCCAUACAAAGACCCGUAGAAUUAUUUGGGACAUUCCAACUAAUCUAGAAUAACUUUGUUAAGGUCAACUACAGCCAAUUCGAUGAUGAUUUAAUGUUUUAUUCACGUGGACAAAGAGGCUCUAAUCAACCUCUCUAAGCAUAGUGUGAAUAUCGUACACCUAAAAGAGAAAUCCGUGCUUUAUUAAUGUGGCCUUGGAGAAUGAUUUGUUAGUUAAAUUCACAAUCGCUGAUGCAAACAUAUACCAGAAACAUUCGGUUUGCAGCUUAGGUUGUCUGUUAGAUAUUGAAGUGUCACAUAAAAGUGACGAACAGGCCUCAAGUAUUCAUUGACAGUACGUACCAUGAUGGUUUAAUAAAAGGAAAUUAACAGGGUCUGAAUGUUAAAAAUAGAAAUAACAAAAAGAAAUUACAAUAUCUGAGCUGAGCACAGCAUGUAGCUACAUAUUUUUUCGAAUCAAAUAUUAAUUCUGGAGAGAUAUCACGUGAAUAAUGAUUGGCAACUACAAAUAUAGAUUAAAUUUCAAACUUACUACAUACUUUUGGUCAUCUCUCUGUCUCUCUGGUCGGGUGCAUCUAAUGACGACUCAUCCAUGUCUUGUGUGCCCAUCUUUUGUUGAAAUCGCUGCCCAGCCAAAGAUUAUCACACAGGGCCAAUAUGUAAUUAGCGUUCGAAUAAGUAGAAUCUGUGCAAUAACUAGCAAUACCCGAUUGCCCCUCCUAACAUAUAGUGCUAUUGCAAAACGAACGCCAUUUAAAGGCUCCGUAUAUAAGCACAGUGAUGCAAUCAUCAUCAUUGCACAGAUUGCAAUUGCAGUGCAUCGAGUCACUGGGGCCAGCACUAAAUACAUACCUAGUGCAAAGGCAGUACCCAAACUUGUCACUGAACUGAAGGCCAGGAGUAGAGAUAUGUUAAAGUGCCGACGGCGAAGUGGUAGACUAACCAUAGGCAUUCCAGAGUACAUGAGGUUGAUGAUAGCCAAGCUCGAGCAAAUGAAUGCUAUUGUGUUAGCCAUGAUGAAUGCAUCAAAUAUAUAACUUCCAGCAAGUGUUGGUGUGCCACCAUUAUUGUGAUCGUCUGCUUUGUAACCUCCUGGUAUGGCAAACAUUACGCCAAACGUGACAGUAACAAUCAGCACUGAGGCAAUACCCAAAGUUUGUGUUGAAUUUGUCAUUUUGUCCGAUUCCCUCACUUCAUCUACUUGUUUUUGAUGAAUAAUAUAUUGUUCCUGCAGGUGAUCUACCCGACGACAACCACCUCUUGCAUUGCAAAACGUUAGUGCCCGCAAUAUCAGUUUGUUAGGGUUCUGCAAAGCAAACAUAAUGGAUCAGUAGGUCAGUACUCUUUAUUUUUCUUGAGUAAAUUACACUCACGGUACAUGAAUUUGUGUGGUGGGUGCAAAUAGAUAUAACAGCUUGCAAAUUGCUCACUUUGAUAUAAUAACUUGGCUAGUAGGUGCGAACCGGGCCAAAAUGAUCCAUACAAGUAAAAUUGUUCUAAAUUAGUGCACAAUAAUGACAUAACAGCAUAUACGUACAACUAUGAUUUGGAGAUCUUAUUUCGAAUCCAAAUAAAAAGAGGAAUUAGAUGUCCAAAAGUUUAUUUUUCAUGUAUAGGAUACAAUAUUUAUUUCAUUUUUUGGAAAAAAUUGAUCAUCUAUAUAACUCGUCUAAUGUUUAUUUAUCUAUUCAAGACCAAGAUAAUUUUUAUAUGUACAAUUAACUACUAAAAGAACAUUUUAAUUUUCAUUUUCAUGUUCCGACACUUUCAUUGAAAGUGUAUUUUAAUGAUUAGGUAUUUUUAAUUAUUUUGUUUUUUUUUCUAAAUCUUGAAAGUAUCAUGCGAAUAAUAGUAAUAAUAUGUGUCAGUAUAAAAUUUUGAUGUGUAACAACAAUUACACCAGUAGUAUGUAUCAUAUUAGAUCAAUUUUACUUUUGCGGAUCGGUUUGGCCUAUGUUUGCAUGAACUAGCCAAGUUAUUGUACCCGAAUAAGCAAUUUGUAAGUUAUUGUACCUAUUUGCACCCACCAUACAAGUUUGUGUACCAUGAACGUAAUUUACUCAUUUUUCUUUGUUAAUCAAAAAGGGUUAAAAGUGUAAUCUUACCCAUCCAUAGAAAUAUCCUGCAAGAAUCUUACUCUGCGAUAUAUCUAAAGCAGUUUGCCCCUUAUUAUUUGAUAUAUUUAAGUUUACCUCCUUAUUCAUCAGUAGAGAACAGAAGAUAGCCUUAUUCCCAUGCUUCACUGCUAUGUGCAAUGCAGUGUUUCCAUCGUUGUCUUGCAUAUUCAAAAUCCUAGCCAACGAUUGAGUAUGGCAAGCAUACACAACUACAUUCCAUCUUUCCCUUUCAACGGCAACAUGAAGGAAAGUCCUCCCCUUAGAAUCGCGUAAACCAGCGAUCUCAGGUCGCUCUCUAAUAAAGGACUUGACUGUCAGAUUGGCACCGGAGGAGGCAGCGACGUGUAUGGGGUACAAUCCUUCAGAGUCUUGCUUAUACAACUGAACUGGGUUGGCUCUCAGCACAGGGAUGACCGUAUUGUAUAUUCCUCUCCGUAGAAGUGAUGCAGCGAAAUGGAGUGGCGUGCUCCCAUUUUCGUCCGAUUGCUCUGUGAGGCCAUUGUUCCAGUUCAACAACAUUUUGGUCAUCACUGCAUACAAGGUAUAUUCAUGUGAAACUAUGUUAUUAAGGGGAGCAAAUUAACGCUGCAGUAACUAAAUAGCAUUAUUUAAUUAGCCAAAACAUUAGGUUGUGGACUUGUAGUUGUUCAUUUUAAACGUAAAAAAGAAAAGAAAAGUAUCUUGCAUUGCGUGCUUUAACGCGUCUAAAUAAACACACAGUGCACAGUGGAUAAAGAAGGUUAUAUUAUCUAACUUUGUAUCUCAGGUUUAGCUUACUCACGAUGUAUGGGGAAGUCCCCGUAGUACUUGUUCUCAAUUUUUCUUCUGCAUCAGUGGAUGUGUUUUUUUCCGCUGAGUGCAAUUUGGUGCGGCAGCUGGAUGUUUUUAUUUGUUUAAUGAAAUUGGAAGAUAGCUUGCACACAUGCGCGUCCAUCUUUUUUAUUACGAAUAUUUAUACUUAUUCUAUUGUAAACAUGUUUUUUUUAAAAAAAUUUAUUUGGGAUUACCAUUGUGGCGUAUAACAAUGUAUAACUUGUAAACUAAAAUUACUUAAAAACACCGAGUUUUGAAUUUAUAAGAAAAUAUCGUGUCACGAUGAAGUUGCUACCUAUGAAACUAUAUAACAUUUGUACAUAAGUGUGUUUUUGUAAGUAUCUUACUUUUGGAAUUUCUAAAUUCUACUAAGUAACAUUUUUUUCAUACUAUAUAUGUCUUUGUGAAUUUUACAAUAUUUUAUUUGAAGAUAUUAUCUAUUAAAAAUAUAGAUAAUAUGACCGCAUCAUCUAAUUAAAUGAGGUGGAUAUGUUGAAGUAUUGAUUUAAUUAUCAGGAUAUAGUUUUGCAAUAGGAAACUACAGUUGUCCUAUCUCUUAGCGAUUGUCUUCCUGUUGGCUAUCUCUUAACGUGGCUUGUGGCUAUGGCUCUCUAUGGCUCGUGAUUGUAUGCCCUCUUCUUCUAGGAAGAAGACGAGAGAAAGAAGGAAGAAGAUGGAAAAUAAAGGAUAUUGAUGGAAAACGUGAAGACAGUGGCACGGUCCAAUUUUGUAAAAUUUUAGUGAUACGACUAUUAAUAGACGAAUUUUAAUGUCAUUUAUUUGAAUAGGCAAAUUUGUAAAGGCAUGGAUCCAAUUAAGCUAAUUUUGUUUAUUAUUUGACUGGUUGAGGUGGGAAUUUCUUGGUUUCGCUGUUUCUUCGUGAUUCUUUUCCUUCCCAAAAGUUUUCUCCUUUUUUUUCUCCAUACGAACCUUUUUUUUUUGGUAAAAUCUAAAUCAAGAGGCAUCUUGUUUUAAUGCUAACGAGAGGCCCUAACAAUAUACCUUCACUAUAGUACUAGCUAGUCCAACAAGCAAGUAGAAAAAAAUAUAUUCCUAUCACAUGUGCUUCAAAUAAAAUUCUCUUAAAAUACUUAUCCGAUCUAUGAUCCAAUUACACCGUUGUGUUCAUAAAAGUUAAAGUUUUAUAACAAGAUCUCACAUGAUUAUGUUUUAAUGAAAAAAAUAUAAAUUACUCUUAUAAUAUACCUUAAUUAAUUUUAAAUUUCACUAAACUACUUCUUCGACAUAUAAAAGUAAAUUCAAUAAAGCAUAAAAGUAAUUACAUAUAUUAUAUUAUAGAAGUAACUUAAAAUAAUAAUUUACAUAUAUUAUAGAAGUAACUUAAAAAAAAGAAAGUAACUUUGUGAUGAUAUUAAAAGUAAAUCCGUUAUGGAGAUAAAAACAUGAGUUUAUCUAGCAAUUAAAUUUAAUUAGCACAAAUUACGGAAUUGACCAAAAAUGAUAAUAAAAUAAACAAUAUAUUCACAACAUCAUGAAUGUAUAAGAAGUAAUUUAAUCAAAUCGAAAAGUAAUUUAUAUAUAUGAUAAAAGUAACUUAUUUAUAUAAUAAAAAUAUUUUACAAUAUAUAUAUAUAUAUAUAUAUUUAUUUCUUUUAUCAAAAUAUAGUCAUGUAAGAUCUUGUUGUACAAAUUUAAUUGCAACAAACACAAUGGUGUAAUCGGAUUAUGGAUAGAUAAGUAAUUUAAAAGAAAAAUCUAUAAGAAGAAAAAAAAGGCAUGUAUUAUUCGGUUUACUAGUAGGCAACCAGAUCUAAAGAUGAGUCUCUGGUUAAGACAAUAUAGGGUGCGGUCUCUGUGUAGUUACAUCUUUUUAUUGUUUGUUUUUUUUAGAAGAUCCAUUUUUCCUGCUCUAAUUUUGGUAAUUGCGCUUGACUUUCCUUUUAAUGAUCAAGUUGUUAAUAACGGCGGCAAUAAUCAGGGUUGCAUCCAUUUGAGCCGGUAGAGAGCCGGCUAUUCUUUUUCUUUUACCAUGGAAAACUGGCACAUCUUUUUAGGUGUUAGUUUUAAAAACCUAGUACACCUUUGUGAAAUAUGUCUCUAAAUUGGUGCCAGUUGAGAAGAAGUUCCCAUCCGGUAUCUAUGGGUACUCUGUAGCAGUGAUGUCAUGUUUCCCUUAUCAAAUGCUAAUGUUGUUACAUAUAUUGACAAUUAUUUGGUUAAAACUGCCAGUUUGUUACAAAUUUAUAGUAAGGUAUUUCACAAAAUUUGUUAUGAAACAAUAGGGUGAACUCAUCCAUAUAAAAGGAUGGAUCGCAACCGAAGGCAUCCACGCCUCUUCCCUAGGCGCUCCUUGGCAACGGACGCGUCUACAGUUGCCACCUCUUCCCCCUCUAUAAAUUGUACCGCAUUGAUCAAUAAAGGACCGCAUUGAUCAAUAAAGGACAUCCACUCAUUCGCUCUAUUGUGGUCAAUUCUCUCUCUCGCUCAAUCAAUCUUACCCACUUUCAACAUGUUAUCAGCACUUAGCUCUAAGCGAAGAGAAGAAAUCCGAUUGCUUUUUAUCUCAAGAAAAAGCGAAGAACAGAAGAAACUAAGGAAGCGCAUAAGGUAUGUCUACCUUGAUUUCAUCCUCGAUGCCGUUCUCGGCCUCCCUCGCCGAGACCGCACCCAUCGCCUUCGCCACCUCCUCUGUCGAUUCGAGGAGUCGCCACCAUCGCCAUGCCGGGCACCAUUCUAGGGUUGGUGGCCGCCGCCACCAUCCUCGGCGCAGCAUUUGCCGUCGCUGCUACACCUCCGACUCCACCACCACAAGCGCCCGCCAUGGCACCGGCGCCCCGCCGCGUCCAGGUCCAGGCACCAUGGAUGGAUUGCGGUGGUGACACCCGCCGGCGAGCAGUGCUCCCUCCCACUGGAGAUGGAGUCGCCACCGGCACCGUUCGUCGCCGCUCCGCCAUCACCUUCACCUCGUCGGAGCUGCUCCCCCGAUCCCGCGCCGCCGGGGUUUCGGGGAUUGGAACUCUCACCACGCGCACGGGGUAGCCGGCCUUCUACCCUCCAUCAUAGUCUCGCCACCAUGCUGGUGAAGCCGCCGCUUGCCACCCAGCCUCCCCGCUACUUUCCGCCCGCGCCAUUCCUCACGACUCCCCGAGUUGCACGCUCUCAAAUGGAGUGGGGAGAACGGCGUCCGAACCCGACCGGACUCUUACUCCGAUGAGGAGAGGGGGCUGUCGGCGGACGACGGGGGCUGCGGUGACUAUAGCGGUGAGGGCGGCAGAAAUGGAGGCGCCGGCAGUGGUGUAACAGGGGAAGAAGGUGCGGCAGAAAAGGAAUCGGUGGUGGAUGAGGGAGUCGGCAGUGGAAACGGCGCUGGAAGUGGUGAAGAAGGAGGCGCCGAAAUGGACGGUGGCGGCAGAAGAGGUGCAGGAGGCGGCGCCGCCUCGGCGACAUCAUGUGCGGCGGCGGCGGCACAAACCGCGGGGGCGGUUAGGGUAACCCUAACCCCCCCCCCCCCCAAGCCCCCCUACGCCCUUUUCCUCUCGGGCCUGAUGGGCCGGCUACACUCUAGCGGUGGUGGGCCGAAUCCUAUUGAUUUCGGCCCACCACCCAUUUACCCCUUUAUUUUAGUUUUUAAUUUUAUUUUAGCAGCAAUUUCAUAUUAGUCCCUGUGUUUUAUUUAAUUUAGUACAAGCAGUUCAUCAGUUGUACAAAUUACAAUGUAAGACCACUGGUGUUAUAUGUUACUUAACAUAGGUGUUUAUUCAAAUACCCUGCUUCACUAAAUUUCAUGUUGUCUUAAUUAAAUGCCUUUUGCAUAUUAUUUUGAGACAUGCUCUACUUCCUCGCUUCAUUAAUUUACAAAAUUCUUUAAAUUUUGUACUUUAAUUUAGCAAAUUCUCUUAAUUAUGUACAACAUGAUUAAUGGAGGAUUUAAUGCAUGUUCCACUACACAUUUUGACUCGGAAAUUAAUCACAUGUAGCUGGAGUCCUAUAUUUUGGUCAUCGUGACCAUAACCUAGGUAGCAAGUAUGUUGCCCAUCAUUAAGUGUUCUACAUUUUGAGAUGAUUACCCGGUGGAGUCCUACAAAUUGGCCACACUGGUCAUAACCUAGGCAGCGAGUAUCUCGCCUAUCACACAGAGGUCUACAUCUCACGAUGAUUACCCACAUGUGGUAUUUUCCGAGAAUAUGUUUUGAAAAAUGAGAUUAUUUGAAAUUUGGAUAAACACAAGGUAGUGGAGUCCUAAACAUUGGCUGCGGUAUAUUCACCAGAAUAUAUUUGCCUAGAGAUCAUGUUUUAGGCAGCAAGUAUAACUUGCCCACUAUUAAGAGAUCUACUCCACUGUUUAAUUACUUGGAGAUUAUCCACAUUGUGCCACCUAAUUUCGAAUUCUAACUCAAAUUAUCAGGUCUAUAACCUACAUCUUUUCGAAACAUUACAAAAUAUGAAGUCUUACAUUUCGCAUUGAGAUUACAACCUCAAUGUCAUGUUUUUAUUAAUUUACCUCUGUAAAUAAAUAAUGUUAAUCAUGAUUAUAGGGACAUGACAACUAUAGAGUUCGACGAACUCGCCCUCGAUGGGAGUAACUACCCAAUUUGGGCUUCCGAUAUCAAAAUAAAUUUUUGUUCUCGUGGGAUUUCAAAUACAAUUUAGGAACCCAAUGAUUGGGAUCCACUAGUUGAGAACAGAAAGCUAUAUAUUGCCAUUUUCCUUCUAAGGCUCUACAUCUAUAAAGAUCUCAAACAUGAGUACAUGUUGGAGACGAGCCCUCUCAACCUAUAGAAAGCUCUAAAAGAGCGUUAUGAUCAGCAAAAGGAACUCAUUUGGCCUGAGGCUAAUUAUGAGUGGAUUCAUUUACGCCUACAGGAUUUUGCGAAAAAGAGCCAACGGAAGCAGAGAAGAUAGAGAAAACUCUAUCAACUAUGUUUCCAAAGGACAGGAUACUGAACCAAUAGUAUCGCACUAAAAGGAUUCAAGAGAAAUUCCUCGAAUAACCCUAAGAAUCUAACUGGACAACGCAAACGCAACAACAGGCGCAAAUCCAAUGGUCGACAGAAAGGAAAAGGGAAAGGUCAGGCACCACAACCUCGUGGCAAAUAGCAACAGGCAUUACAACAAGUGUGGAUCUGACUAUCAUGUCACUAAAGAUUGCCGCAUCCCAAAAACAUCUUGUUCUCAUGUAUCAGAAAUCCCUAAAGGAGAAAAAUAAAUCUUCUAAAGAACUAAGAUUUGAAGCUCACUUUAAUCUUACAAAAGAAAGACCUGAGAUUGAAAGUUCUCACCAGGUUGAAGCUCACUUCAAUCUUACAAAAGAAAAACCUGAGAUUGAAAGUUCUCACCAGGCUCCUAUUGAACCAGAGAACAACCUCGCUCUUCUCCUAGAGGAUACCGCGGCACUUUCUGCAAUGGAUGACAUGCUCAUCGAGUACUGCUCAACGGACCCAGUUGGAGAUUUACUAUGAUCGCAGUGCACCCCACUUAGAGAUAAAGCUGCUUUAAUCUCAGUGUGUUUGAGACAUUAUAUUGAUAUCCUAUAGUUUGUCAAAACAAUAUUGGUUGUAAUAAGUAGAUAAGUACAAACUCCCUUAUAUUAUAAGGUUGUAAGACUUGCUAGUCAUUAGAGUAUGUACUUAUAACAUUUGUAAACAUCAUACUAUGUAUUUGAUGUUUUAAUUAUUGUAUGUAUGUAUAUAUUGUGGAUAAAGAAUUCUUCACUAAGCAAUUCUUCUUUCACUAUAGAUGUCUAAGGAUAUGACUCCGAUUGGAGAUGAAUUAUGUCUUGUGGACAGUGGUACCACAAACUCUAUACUUAGGGAGAUCAAAUACUUUCAAGCUCUCAAAAAGAGAGAAGGCAAAGUUUUGACUAUCGCUGGGCGCGAUACUGUGAUAUUUGGCUCAGGACGAGCAACUAUUACACUCCCAAUGGAUACACAAAUUACAAUCGAGGAUGCUUUAUUGUAUCCUGAUUCAACCCAUACCCUACUAAGUUAUAGAGAUAUCCGUCAAAUUGGGUUUCACAUUGAAACCCAUAUGCAUAAUCGAGAAGAAUUUCUUCUCUUAACCAAACAAAAGGGAUAUGGCAAACGCAUUUGCGAGAAAAUUCCAUCUCUCACAUUGGGAUUGUACUAUACAUACAUUAAGCCCAUUGCACAUGUUGUGUACAAAGUGAUUUUUUAAAAUGUUGAUGCAUUCCACACUUGGCAUGAUCGACUUGAGCACCCGGUAUCGGGAUGGUGAGAAAAAUUAUUGACAAUUCUAUUGGUCAUCAUUUGAUCACUGACAAAUUUCCCAAAUACUCUGAUUUCGUAUGCACAGCAUGUGCUACUGGGAAACUGAUUUUGAGACCAUCUUAUCUCAAAAUUAGAGCCGAACCACUUAAAUUCCUUGAACGCAUUCAAGGAGAUAUCUGUGGCCCUAUGGUGCCAAGAUCUAGACCGUUCAGGUACUUUAUGGUUUUGAUUGACGCAUCUACUAGAUGGUCUCAUGUGUGUCUUCUAUCGACACGAAACCAUGCCUUUGCCAAACUAAUGUCUCAAAUUAUAAGGCUGAAGGGAAAUUAUCCUGAACAUAGGAUUCAAUCAAUCCGUAUAGACAACGCUGCCGAAUUUACAUCUCAUGCUUUCGAUGAUUAUUGUAUGGCAUUGGGAAUUCAGGUUCAACACUCUGUUCCAUAUGUCCACACACAAAAUGGUUUGGCUGAAUCAUUGAUCUAAAGAAUUAAGCUUAUUGCCCGACCAUUAUUGAUAAACUGCAAAUUACCUUCGUUGUGUUGUGGUCAUGUAGUUCUGCACACUGCUGACCUUGUCCAACUACGACCAACUGCAUUGAGGAAACUGCAUAUCGUGAAACUUCCCCAAUGCAGUUAGUACGUGGAAAUCCUCCAAGUAUUUCCCAUUUGUGUAAGUUCGGUUGUAUUGUAUACAUACUGAUCUCACCACCACAUCGUACCGCUAUGGGCCCACACAGGAAAGUGGGGAUCUAUGUGGGAUUUAAAUCUCCGUCGAUCAUAAAGUAUUUAAAACCCUUAAUAGGUGAUCUAUUUACUGCCCGGUUCGCUGACUCUAUCUUUGAUGAGGAAAAUUUCCCGGCAUUAGCGGGAGACUUCAAGUACCAGAAAGAAUGACAGGAAAUUGAUUGGGAUGCCCAGGGUAUUCCAGCCUCACACCCACGCACUACUGAAACUGAACUUCAAGUUUAGGAAAUUAUACAUUUGCAAAGACUUGCAAAUAACCUGCCAGAUGCAUUUACUAAUUAUAAAGGUGUUACUAAAUCUUUCAUUCCUGCUCAGAAUGCGCUAGAAAGAGUGGAGGUACCAAAUAAAACCACUCAACUUCCACUCACUAAAAAGAGAGGAAGAAGUUUGGCCACUCAGCGAGAUACAGUUGCUAGCAAGAAAAGAAAGACAAUAAAUGCAAACCAACCUUAAGUUGGUACACACCAAAUUGAUACUAUGUAUCAAGCAGAUCGUGAUAAUCUGCAACCUAGCCCAGUUGUGCAUAAUGCUGAGACUAGGAAUUCAGAAGACCAUAGACACAUUGUUUUGGGAAAUCACAAUGAGUCUAUAAGGGUUGAUGAAAUUGCCAUCAACUACUCGGAAACUGGAGAAUCUUUUGAUAGAAGAGCUACAAUUGUUGACAUUAAUUUUUCUGAAUAAAUUGCUGAUUGCCUGCAAGUUGAUCCAGAACCUAGGUCUAUAAAAGAGUGCCAAAAGCGCUCUGACUGGAACAAAUGGAAGGACGCAACUGACGCAGAAUUAGCCUCGCUUUACAAAAGAGAUGUAUUCUCGGCUGUAAUGCCUACUCCUCGUGGUAUCUUUCCUGUGGGAUACAAAUGGGUUUUCGUCUGGAAACGGAAUGAAAACAAUGAGGUGGUGAGAUAUAAAGCAAGGCUUGUAGCACAAAGUUUUACGCAAAAACAUGGCGUUGAUUUCAACUAAACUUACUCUCCAGUUAUGGGUGGUAUAACUUUCCGAUAUUUAAUAUCAUUGAUAGUACAAAAUCGUCUAUUUAUGCAGUUGAUGGACGUAGUGACAGCAUACCUUUAUGGAUCACUUGAUUCUAAUAUUUACAUGAAGGUUCCUGACGGAAUCGACAUGCCGAAUCAGAAGGUAAAUCGUAACAUGUAUUGUGUUAAGUUGCAGAAGUCACUUUGUGGCUUAAAACAAUCGGGCAGGAUGUGGUACAACCGAUUAAGUAAAUUCCUUUCACUAAAGAGAUACACUAAAAAUGAUGAUUGCCCAUGUGUCCUUAUCAAAAAGUCCCCCACAGGAUUUUGUAUUAUCUCGGUAUAUGUCGAUGAUCUUAACAUCAUUGGCAAUACACAAGAUAUUAAUGAAGCACGUCAUCAUUUAAAGACGGAAUUUGAGAUGAAGAAUUUGGGUCAAACCAAAUUUUGCUUAGGUAUACAACUUGAGCAUUUACCUUCUGGAAUCCUUGUGCACCAAAGUGCAUAUACCUAGAAAAUUUUGGAGAAAUUCAAUAUAUGGACAAGUCAUAUCUUUCCAAAACCCUUAUGGUGGUUCGAUCUCUAGACGUGGAGAAAGUCCCAUUUAGACCAAAGGAAGAUGGUGAGGAUGUGCUUGGACCUGAUUUUCCAUAUCUUAGUGCUAUUGGCGCACUUAUGUAUCUUGCAAAUAGUACGAGGCCAAAUAUUGCUUUCUCGGUAAAUCUAUUAGCAAGAUAUAUCGCUGCUCCUACCAAACGCCAUUCGACUAGAGUUAAGAAUGUCUUUCGAUAUCUUAAUAGCACAAGAGAUCUUAGACUUUUCUUUAAAAAGAACCAAGAUUCGACCUUAAUUGGGUAUACUGAUGCUGGCUAUCUAUCUGAUCCCUACAAUGCCAAAUCACAAACAGGAUUCGUACUUUUACAAGGUGGAACUGCUAUUUCAUGGAAGUCUUCUAAACAGACACUGGUAGCCACUUCCACAAAUCAUUUUGAAAUAAUUGCAUUAUAUGAGGCAUCACGUGAAUGUUUAUGGCUUCACAGAAUGAUUAACCACAUAUUAACAUCUUGUGGUAUUGGUUCAUUAGAAUCACCUACCAUUAUCUAUGAAGAUAAUGCCGCUUGUGUUGUUUAGAUGGAAACUGGUUAUAUUAAGAGCAACAUCACUAAGAAUAUUGCUCCUAAAUUAUUUUAUCCUCAUGAGCUUCAGCAACAUGGAGAGAUAAACAUCUUGCAAACUAAGUCAUGUGAUAAUCUCGCUGAUUUAUUCAUAAAAUCUCUGCCAUACUCCAUAUUUUUUAAAUGUGUCGAAGGAAUUGGUAUGAGAUGACUUAAAAAUUUGCAGGAUUGAGGGGGAGUAACUCUCUCUGGGAAAUAACCUAUUUUCGUCAUAUUAUACUAUUUUUCCUUUGUAUGAGUUUUACCCUUUAUAUUUUCUCAUCCAAAGUUUUUAACGAGGUAAUAUCAACAUAAGUUAUAUGUCUUAUCAUUUUGCUUUUCCCCACUAGGGUUUUUACUAAAUGAUAACUAUAGACAUUAUACUAAUUUUGGACCAUACUAUGAGCUUUACUCAUAAAGUCUAAAAAUAGUUAACUAUAUAUCACGGUUCUUCUCCUUAUUUUCCCAAUGGGUUUUUGAGGAGUUUACCUGAUGUAUCUAAUACAAUAAAUUAUAAUUAUUUCUAAGAUUAUGUUUACAAAUAUUCUGGAACAAUGAAAGAGCAAUGAUCAAAGCUGGAUUCGAUCAAGGGAGAGUAUUAUGAAACAAUAGGGUGAUCUCAUCCAUAUAAAAGGAUUGAUCGCAACCGAAGGCAACCACGCCUCUUCCCUACGGAAUUGCUACUAGGCGAUUGCUCGCUCAGGGCGAUCAGAUCCGAUCCCCCUCCCCCUCCUCCACGUGGGUUCCUUUUUUGGCACCGCAUUACUUUCCUAUUUUAGUAAAUUUAUGCACCUAAAGUUUGUACACCUCAAGUUUACACAUCUAAAGUUUAUACACUUAAAGUUUAGAGACCCAAAGUUUAUAAGUCAAAAGUUUAUACAUCAGAUUCAAAUUUGAAUUUGAAUUCAAAUAUAUUUUAUAUAUAAUAUUUCUGUACAUCUAAAGUUUAUAGACCUAAAGUUUAUAAUUCAAAAGUUUAUAUACCCGAUUCAAAUUUGAAUUUAAAUUAUAUCCGAUUCAAAUUUGAACUUGAAUUCAAAUAUUUUUUAUAUAUAGUAUUUCUUUACAUCUAAAGUUUAUACACCUAAAGUUUAUAGACCCAAAGUUUAUGAGUCAAAAGUUUACAUACCCGAUUCAAAUUUGAAUUUGAAUUCAAAUAUUAGUUUAUAGACCCAAAGUUUAUAAGUCAAAAGUUUACAUACCCAUUUCAAAUUUGAAUUUAAAUUCAAAUAUUUUUAUAUAUAGUAUUUUCUAUACAUAAAUUUUUCCAACUUUAUUUUUUUAUUUUUUUUAAAUUUAUGGUGUAGUAGGAAGAGAAGAAGGGGAGGAGGAAGGGAAAGAGUAGAGUAUAGGGGGACGGAGAGCGAUCACCCGCCCAUUAGCACCCCCCUCUUCCCUAGGCACUCCUUAGCACCCAUUUCCUAUCUAUAAAUUGUACCGCAUUGAUCAAUAAAGGACAUCCGCUCAUUCGCUCUAUUGCGUUCAAUUCUCUCUCUCGCUCAAUCUCUCUCGCUCAAUCAAUCUUAUAUACUUUCAACGAAAUUGACACGAUAGCAAACCAUUUUAUUUUUAUUAGAAAGCUACAAAUAUUUCCCACUAUAUAUGUGCGUAUGACUUGCAUUGUGGGCCCCAACUUGCAAAAGCAUGAGUUUUGCAUUUGUGUAUGACAUAUUGACCUAUAAACUUAUAAAACAAAUUAAGUUGUCGCUUUAUGAUAAAAGCAAAUAUAUGAUUCAAAAUAAGUAUGGAAUAUAGCUAGAAUGAAAUUCAAAACAGCAAAUAUAAAUUGCACACGUACCUUGGUCUUGUAGAACGGCUGCGUGCAAUGCAUUUUGUCUAUUUGGGCCAGAGUACGAAAGAUUCCCGUCUGUCAUUUGAUGCAAUAACUUUGCAAUGUCGACCUGUUGAUGCAAGACAGCUAGGUACAACGGUGAAGUACCUGUUGCAUCCAUAAGGAAGCCGGCCAAUUCUGAAUAAUAUUUAAGAAGGUUGGUGAUUAUAUCCUUAUUUCCAAUGCAGACGGCAUCAUGAAAGGCCGUCUCCUUACGGCAGUUUUCCUUUCUCAGGAGUUCCUCCAGUCUCGCGCUGCUAGGGGAGUUGUCCUUAGUUUCAACCAGAUCAAUUAGAUGAUCAACCAUUUUGGAAUGGCCAGCCCGGACAGCGCAGUGCAGAGGUGUGUCACCGUUGUUGUUCUGCACUAACAUGAGAUGUUGGGACCUGCUGUAGAUGACGCCUGCACUCCUCAAGUAGCCCGGGCCAUCACCGCAGGUGGCCACAACAUGGAGUGCAGUGUUCCCUUCAGUGGUGACCCCGUCCAGAUCCAUGCCCGACUCUGCAUCUGCACCAGAAGCUUGCUGCGUCGUCAUAUCUAUACCUUCCAGAGUUAUAACUCACUAAAUAUUAAACAUAAUAUAUAAAGAUACCACAUUAUUAUCUACUAGCAAUAAUAUUAGUUAUAAAAAAGCUAAUGCAUACAUACAAUAUCAUUUAUAAUUUAUUAAAUUCUAUAAAUCAACAUGUAAACAUAUCCAAUCAUCAUCACCUCUCACAUCAUUUCUAAAAUAUUUUAACAUAUAUAGUCAUCAUUUUUAUAAUACUUGACAUGUAUAUUCACUAGUACAAAACCUUUCAUCUGUGACGGUCUCUAACAUGCCUAGAAUUAGUAGGCCGUCACUAGAAAGUCAUCUCAAUCGGGCCGAAAAAGUGUCCGAUUAAGAUAUAGUCGCAUAGACAUAUUAAAUGGGCAUAAAACUCAGGCUCGUCACGGAUGACACCUAUCAGUGACGGGCCGUAAUUUAGGCCCGAUUGAAAUAACGUUCCAUAGCUCAAUCGGGCCUCAAGUUUGAGAAAUGGAACAUUAUCUCUAUCGGGGCUAAACUUGAUGAUCAUCCGUGACGGGCGCCAACUUGAGACCCGAUUGAGAUAUGGAUCGUUAUCUCAAUCGGGCCUAAACUACGGCCUGUCACUGAUAGAGGUCAUCAGUGGCGGGCCUGAUUUUUAUGCCCAUCUAACAUGUACGUGCGACCAUAUCUCAAUCGAUAAUAAUUAGGCCUGUCACACAUGACUCAUCCGUUAACUAUAGUAAUGCCCGAUUAAUAUGACUUAGUAUUUUUCCAUUUUUCAUAUGAAAUGUUUAUAUUUGUGAGUUGACCUAUAUCAAAAUAAUUAACUGCAGUAUAAUAAUUCAUUUUAUUAUUUUUUCGGGUAGUAAAUGAUUUCAAAUGGAAAAAUUGUCAACAACAAACUUGUAUAACUUAUCAAGAUUUAGAACUUUUAUUUUGGUCAUUUUUCUAUAUAACUCUUUUUGAAUAGUUUGAAUUUGAAUUUCAAAAUAUAACAACUUCAAAACAACAUUUUCAAAUACUAAAUGAUUUCAACUAAAAAAGUCAUCAACAACAAAUUUGUAUAACUUAUCAAGAUCUAUAACUUUUAUUUUGGUUAUUUUUCUAUAUAACUUUUUUUUUGAACAGUUUGAAUUUGAAUUUGAAAAUAUGACAACUUCAAACAACAUUUUCAAAUACUAAAUGAUUUCAACUAAAAAGUCAUCAACAACAAAGUUGUAUAACUCAUCAAGAUCUAUAAUUUUUAUUUUUUUCAUUUCUUCGUCAGACAAAGUGUUAGUAACAUUGUUCACAAAUUUUACAUAUCUAUUUUAUAGUUUAUAAACCAAAUAAGAGAUAUUUGCUAGUUGUGGCCCGAUUGAGAUAGGUCAGCCGUGAUGGGCUAUAGUUUGACUGGUCGUCUGGUUCAAGGCUAUCAGUGACGGGCUUUAAUUGAGGCCUGAUUGAGAUAGCUUCAUUAGUGACAGCCGUUUGUCCGAUUGAGAUAACUUUUCACAUCUGUGAUUUCUAGGCUGUGACGGACGCCAUGUCCGACUGAGAUGGGGGUUGCCGCCUGAUUGAGAUGGUGGUUACCGUUCUAGUGAUUCAUCCAUAUAUUCCAUAUCAAAGCAUGGGAAAUUAUUUAGUUUUUUAUGAUUAGUACUAAUUAAUCCUUGAUUUUCAUCAUUUUUUCUAUCUCCCGCUUCUUGCGAUGUAAAUUUUGGUCAACAACCUAAUAUUUUAUCUACAAUCUUCUUUGAGUCUAUUAACUUUAUUUCUCUGUAAAUAUGACUUGGCAGAACAAUUUUAUUUGCUAUCAAUGACUAAUAUCAUGUUUACUCCUUGCUCAACUGUUGAAGAAAAUAUUAAAGAUUACAUAAUAAUUCUUAUAACAUGGGUAAUUUUACCAUUUUUGAGAAAGUAUUUAGAGGUACUAUAUUUUCGAGUUUAAAUUUGGUACCUAUAGGUACUAGCUACUAAGGUACUAAAAAAUUUUUCAUAAAAUUUAGAUAUCUCAAGAUACUUUCUCAAGAACAUAAAAUUUAGAUAUCUCAAGAUACUUUCUCAAGAACUAUAAAGUAUAAAAUUCCUCAGAGCAUGGGAAUCGCCUAGUUAUUAUUAGAUCCAUUACCCGAAGAGUCCCGUUGGAGAUCAUUAGGAAAUGCUCGAGCAGCAGCUAUAUAUUGCUUCCAUGUUCAGAAUAUAUUAACACACGAUUAAUUAAGUUUUAAUUAUUGAAAACUUAACAAAUAGAUAUAUUUAAUAUUUUAAAGCAAUAUAUAUAUAUAUAUAUAUAUAUAUAUAUAUUUCAUAUGAAACACACCGUUUAGUAAAUCUUAAUCUCUGUAAGGAAAGAAUACUACCAUAAUCAUUUAGACGACCCUGCGAUGCUAGUGAUAGCAACAGGGGGUUCAUGGACGCAGUGGAAGGCUUUGCGGCGUCUUCUUUUUUGGACGCCAUCAUCAUCAACAUUGCCGCUGCAUCUCCCUUGCCGCUGCAUCUCCCUUGCCGAUGCUCCUCCCCGUUCUUCAACGCCAUCGCCACCUCAUAAGCCUCUCUACUUAAGGACAACGCCGCCACCAUGGUAGUGGAGUUUUCCUUAUUCACUAGAUCCUUCAGCUGCUGGCUUACAGCACGGUCUGUGGUGACCAUCAGUUGAGCGACCAUGGGCAAUGGAGAAGAACUUGUUGCCAUGGAUGUGCUAGGAGGUUCCUCUCCGUUACUCGCAGCCAUCAUCACCAGUACUCACUACAGGUACAAGGUUAGUCUCACUUGCACUUUCGUGGUUAGCUAUUGGUUGGAUGAUCUAUGUGGGAAAGGCUGGUAUAUAUAUAUAUAUAUGCGCGCGCUGGAGGGCCACAAGGUGGUGCACUUAAACUCAGAUUUGAGGGCAAACUUAUAUACAGAUGUAGUUGUCCAAAGCCCAAACAUGUACACCCUUCAUUUCGUAAGAGCUUUAACUUUUUUUCUAAGUCAAAUUUAUAUAAUUUUGAUUAAGUUUACAGAAAAACAUGAUAAUAUUUUCAACAGCAAACAAACAUGCUAUCAAAAUAUAUUUAAUAUUAGAUUUAAUGGAUCUAAUUUGAUGUUUUAAGAGUUGUUAGAUUUCACUAUAAACUUGAUUAAUUUUAUAGAUUCGUUUAAUAUAUUGACGUGCAAUUAUUUUACGCGUUCGUGAAAAAAGAUUAAAUUUAUAGAAAUUUUAUUUAGGGAAAAAUGAAAGUGUAUUAUAAUAUGAAACCGAGGUACUCCCUCCCUUCCAAAAUAUAAUAACUUUUAGCCUUCAAAAUUUUUCCAAAAUAUAACAAUUUCUUCUCUAGUAUUCUCUUCCCAACCAAUCACAACCCUCCACUAUUUAAUUUUUCCAUCUACCUUCACAUCCCAUUCAAUCACAACAUUCUCUCGUUUAAUUCUACCAACUUUCUUAAUAACCGUAUCCAACGCUAAAAACCCUUAUAUUAUGAGACGAAUAUGGUAGUAACUAGUAUAGACACUAACCUUUUCUUCCGACGUCAGAAAGUUACAACCGAUGACAUUUAUGACGAGACUAAGACAGAAGUGAUACUCUAAGUACCAUAUUCUCUCCUUUCUUUUAAUUUUGUACAUAUGAAAUUCCAGUUUGGUGUGUACUCAGCAGGUGCGUGUGGUUAUGCGUUGACUAUAAUAUGUACGUUGUUUUGUAUGUAUACCCCUUUAGAAGACUAUAGUCACUACUUGACAAACGAGUUUUUAUCCAAAGCCCCAAAACAUAAAUAUUUCAACUAGAUUAAGUACCGGUAGUACCGUUUCUAAAAGUCCAAAUCGCUAUAAACAUCUCUAAUCUCGGUUGGUGUUAUCAACCAAUAAAAAAUAUAUCUUUAGUACCGGUUGGUAGUACCAACCGAGACUAAUGUUGGAUGAUCUUUAGUUUGGUUGAUGUUAAUUACUAUCCAGCAUUAAAGAUGCAUUUUUUGUAUCGGUUGAAAACAACAACCCGUACUAAAGAUAUUUCUAAAACCGGUUGAUGUUACCAAAUGGUAGUAAAGAUAUCUUCAGAGUUAGUUUAAAAGAAAAACAUCUAUAUUCAAGUUAGAUGUGUGUAGUAGGUGAGAUGGUAAUGUGCGUGAGGGCUAAGGUGAAAGAUUUUGAGUUCGAAUGCAACAUCUCACAUAUUAUUUUGGCUUAGUAUGUAUCUUUAGUAUCAGUCCUUUCAACCCUUCUUAGUCUCGAUUUACCUAGAAUCACUAUCCUUCAUCCACUUCGCACUAGCCUAUCAAUUCCCAACAAUUAUAUGGGUAAAAUACAUUGUUGGUGCUUAAGCUCGGAUGAAUACUGUCCUUUUCACCCAUCUCUUGCUUCAAUGUAUAACUCAAGAUCUAAAGUUUAAAUGACGCAGCUCAAGUGACAGUCCACGGUAAUAAGAAUUUUACACUUGGUCUAUUUGCGAAGUUAUGCCCUCAAAAUUAACUGCUACUUCCUAAAAAAAUCAACUCCUAUCAUCCCUAAUCAACACAUAUGCAUUUCUCAACGUCUGAAAAAUUUAUAGCUCAAGUCAUGCAUCAAAAGAUGAAAGUAAAUCUACAAAUAUUCUAUUCAUUUACUUCGGGUGUGUUUAGUUCACGCUAAAAUUGGAAGUUUGGUUGAAAUUGGAACGAUGUGAUGGAAAAGUUGGAAGUUUAUUUGUGUAGGAAAGUUUUGAUGUGAUGGAAAAGUUGGAAGUUUGAAAAAAAAAGUUUGGAAUUAAACAAGGCCUUCUUUUCUCAUAAAUAUCGGAGAUGUAAAUUUUUUGGAGCUAUUGCGUUCUUGUUCUUGCUUUGCGAUCUAAUUGUGAUUUUACCCCUAUUUUUUAGGGUUUGUGCUUUUGCCCCUGCUUUUUCGAAAUGAGCAGCCUUUUGCCCCUGGUUUUGACGGGAGUUAGGUGGGCCCGGAAUUUUUGAGUUAAACAAAGGGAAAAGAAAAUAAAAAAUGAUAUUGCAAUUUCUCAAUGACUGUUAUACCCAUGGUGAGUAGUAAAUCACUAAGCAGCUGUGUGUAUCGGGUUGAAGCUGUGUAUUUCCCCAUCCAGCAUGGCCUAGCGAGUGGUGGCGAUGGCGCAGCAACAUGACCAUUCAACCGGUGGCAGCGGCGGCGACCACUGGCGAGCACGUUGGAGGCGAGACGGCGACCGCGGGCUAGCGCGGCGGCGGCGACCGCAGGCCGACGCGCAGGAGGCGAG